rnacentral:lncRNA from 1 species
AUUUGUGGGUAUAUGUGAAAACUCUAGGAUUAGGACUCAGUCCUAAAGAUCAUCUGAGAUAACAACAAUAGGACUCUUCUAUAUGAAUUAAACACUUAGAACUAGUAAAAAAUUGCAUUAUUUUGCUGAAAGAAAAAUAAAAUAAAAACUCCUUAUAUACGAAACCAUUAGUGUGAACACAUAAUGUGAACAGAGAAACACGGCAUGGGCUUAUCCUUGAUUAUAAAUAGGGUAGCAGGUUCGAAGCUGUGGAGCAAGUAAAUCACACGAGAAAACGAGAAAGAGAGAAGAGGGAAGGGAGAAAAAAGAAGAGAGAAGUGAGAGUGAUCAUCCCAUUUAACAUGGCAGCAAUACCAAACCCUUUUGUUUGGCAAUCUAAACUCAACAACAGGUACUUGCGCUUAGAUGGAAAAAUCGAAAGUCAAGAGGGGAUUCUCGAAUUCACCGAAGAGGUUCCUAACCAUGUUUUCGAAACGGAGGAUCCACAGAUAUCUGGAUACGUGAAUAUCAAGUACCUUGAAAACAACUUAUACUUGACAGGGGUGAAGAGUAAAGCUGGUGAAAAAUCGACAUUGUUGAUCGUGGCCACUGCUGACACACCAAACAAUAAUAUGGAUGACAAACAUUGCACAUUGUUCGAGCUUGUGAAAUCCAAAUCAACCAACGAUUUCCGAGCGCGCCAUGUGCACAGCAAGCUCUUUUUAAGGCCACACAAGGUUAUAGAUGGUCAUGACGCUGUCCUCUGCGCAGAAAACCAAGACCCUAACCCUAUAGAAGUGGAUAUCUUUACAGCCAUUGUGCGUCCAUGAUCAUAGCUAUCGCAUGAUGUUUGUGGGUAACGUCUCUGGAAACCCUCACGAGACUUCACUCGUCCCAUCAGGGUCACCAAUGGGUUUAAAAAGGCUUGUUGCAUACGCUCAAUGCAAUCGAGUUCCCUGCGAAAGUGGCAUUAGUUUUCAUCACUGGUUUUUCAUGUUUUUUUUUUUUCUAAGUAUUCUAGUUUCUUUGUAUUAUGCGUGUAUUAAACCAAUAAACACAGAUUGUAUGAGCUGGGUGGUUAUGUCUUAUGUGUAGUAGUGUUCAAUAAAAGUUGUGUUUCUUCAUGGUUCUUACUUUUUACUGACGUACGUAUGACUUUGAUUCCUUAUUUUAGUAACUUUGAGUACUAAAUAAACUAAUUAAAAAAUCGAGAAGGAUGCUAAUACAUUAAAUAAGUGAGAAGAGAAGAUUGAUAUCCUGCAUCAACUUAGGCCCUGUUUGGCACACCGUAUAAGGGACCGGAUAGUACUAAUAAUACGGUGUACGGUGUUUGGUGACAGUUUGGAUUAAAUAAGCACCGGAUUAAAUAAUCCGGGCCCACCUUUUUUACACAGUGUGUACCCGCUUGCUUAUACCAUCCAUUUUCACGGUAUAAUUAGUCGAGCUCUCUUCUCUCCCGACGCAGUCUUCCGCUUCCUCUCCAGACAAAUUCUUCCGCUCCAGGCACUCUCUCUUCCUCUCCAGACGCCAUCUUGCUCUCAUCCUAGGUAUGUCUUCUCACAGUCUUCUUCUUCGUUUGAAUCACAAUUCGUCUUUUCAAUUUUCUUCUUCUGGGAUUUCGCCCCUCCCUCUAUUCUUCCCCCUCCUCCUAUUUUUCUUGCAAUUGAUUGAAUCUAGUUAUUAUUUUCUCUCUAAUUAUGCAAUUGAUUAUGUAAAUUUGUGUUUUAAUUAGAAUUUUUGAAUUUUAGGGUUUGCUAUUGGGGUCGAAUUUUAGGGUUUUCAAUUUUCUUCUUCUGGGUUUGUUGUUGGUGUUUAACUUUAAUUAGAAUUAAUGAUUGGGUAGAGUGGGAGUGUGCAGGUUCACUUACCUAAACAAAACUUUGUCUCUGGCGCAGCUCCCGUUUCACUCACUAUCUCACAGCUGCAACACAACCAUACGGACAAUUGGGUAAGCCAAUUGUUCUCUGUCUCUCAUUCCCCAUCACCGUCUAUGGCCCGAAAAUUAGAUCCCAAUUGCUGUUCUUCUCAGUUUUUGCAUCACUCCGUCUCAGCUUUUAUCCAUUUUUUAAUUUUUAUGUGAAUUUUACUUUUUAUCUGGAUAUACAUAUGUGUGAAUAAUUUCGGACUAGGGUUGUUGAAUUGUUGAUUGGCAUUGAAUUGUUGAAUUUCGGACUAGGGUUGUUGAAUUGUUGAUUGGAAUUUUUAUCUGGAUAUAUAUAUGUGUGAAUAUAUACGUGACAACCACAGAUGCCAAAUUAGAAUGGGAAAAAAAAUAAUAUCAAAUUAACAAAACACAAGGCGGGAAACUUAACUCAAAACUAGUACCAAAUUGCUUGUAUCUUUAUACGAAUCAAUAAAGCAUUAUAUUAGAGUCUAAAAGCUAAGAGAUCACCUCACAAAUAAAUUUGUCACUCAAGGCUUCUAGCUUGUGAGGAACAAGGUGAUCCUCAAAAUCCCCAUGUCCUAGUUGACCGUAUUUGCUCCAACCAUAUUUUUUGGUAGGACUUAUUAACAUGUUUCCUUCCGUUUUUAGUGUUAUUAUGCAUUCAUGCUCCAGUUACUUAAUUUUUUGCCACUAUCUAAUAAUGUUAUUUUUAUAUUUCACUAGACAUGGAUGAAAGAAAGAUUGUGGCAUGCUUCAUUGUUAAGUUGUGGUACUUGAAUAUUGUGACUUGGUUGAUGAUGUGGUUUAUGAUGAAUCAUAAUUCAGCUAGAAGGCGGAAUCGGCAACUUGCACUUAGAAAUCGCACAUUUGUUAGGAGAAUGGUAGGGUCAGCCUGUUUAGAUGGCAUAAUAGGAUAUGAUGAUGUUCAGUGUGUGAACCAAAUUAGAAUGGAUAGAAGAACAUUCCAUUAUUUAUGUCAGAUGCUUCGUGACGACGGUAGAGUAAAAUUGGAUGGUGUAGUGACAAUGGAAGAACAAGUUUGCAUGUUUUUGCAUAUACUUGCACAUCAUGUCAAGAAUCGUACAAUUGGGAGUAGGUUUUGUCGAUCGGGGGAGACCAUAAGUAGAUAUUUCAAUUCUAUUCUACAUGGAGUGUUAAGGCUACAAGGUAGACUUUUGAAAGUGCCAGAACCCAUUCCUAAUGCCUACCCAGAUCCUAAAUGGAGUUGGUUUGAGGUAUUCUUCAUAUUUUAUUAAAAUUACUUCUAAAAUUAAUGUAAUUAAAUAUAUUGUGCUUACUAAUGUUAAUGAUUUUUUUUAGAAUUGCUUGGGGGCAUUGGAUGGGACUUACAUUAACGUUCAUGUCCCUGAGCGAGAUAAACCAAGAUACCGAUCGAGGAAGGGAGAGAUUGCAACCAAUAUGUUGGGAGUUUGUAAUCUAGACAUGAAUUUUAUAUUUGUGUACUCAGGUUGGGAAGGGUCGGCCUCUGAUUCUAGAGUACUCUGAGAUGCGAUAAGUAGACCAUCGGGAUUAAAAGUUCCCACGGGUAACAAUAGAUUUUUUGUUUAUAUUAGUAAUUUGAAUCCUCAUUUUUCUUAUAUAUAGUAAUAUACAUUUUUUGAUGUGUUAGGGUGUUACUACCUUGUGGAUGGUGGGUAUACAAAUGGUUCAGGAUACCUUGCAUCGUAUAGGGGAGUGCGUUACCAUCUCUCGGAGUGGAGAAAUAGAAGACUCCCGAUUAAUCAUGAGGAGUAUUUCAAUAUGAAACAUGCUCAAGCUAGAAAUGUCAUUGAGAGAUGUUUUGGACUACUUAAGAUGCGUUGGAGCAUCUUAAGAGGUCCAUCAUUUUUCCCAAUUAAAACAUAACUUAGAAUUAUGACAGCCUGCUGCCUAUUACAUAAUUUGAUUAGAAGGCAUAUGUCAGCUGAUCCAAUAGAAAAUGAAAUCCUAAACUUGGACGAAUCUGAAAGUAGUGAUGAUGAUGAAGAUAUGAUUGAGACUGUUCAACCUACACAAGAAUGGACUGCAUGGAGAAACACUUUGGCCAUGAAUAUGUACAAUGAGUGGCGUGCACAAGUGUGAUUUGAUUAAAUUUUCUUACAUAUGCAUGUUGUCAUUUGGUUAUGGUUUGUUAUUUAAACAAAUAGUGAUUUCUUAUGUAUUCGGUUAUGAUACUUAACAAAGUGUGACCUGGUUAUGUAUUUAUUUAAAAAGUGUGAUGAUUUGCUUAUGGUUUUUCACUUACUAUUAAUUAUAUGCACUGUUGAUUAUAUGCUAUCUUAUUGUGUACGUAAUUAUAGGAAUGGAAAGUGAACAAAGUAGUCAACCAAAAGGAAGUAGAAGGGUUUGGAAACAAUAUGAAGAAGAUGCAUUGCUGUCCAUACUUGAGGAUGCAAUUGUUAAGAAUUUGCGAUGUGAUAACGGUUGUUUCAAACCCGGAACAAUGGCUCAAUUUGAAACUGCUAUUAAUUUGAAAUGUCCUAAUGCCAAUAUAAAGGCAGUUCCACAUAUUUAGUCCAAAAUGAGGAGGUGGAAAAAAGAUUAUGCAAUAGUUUAUGACAUGGUUAAUAAAAUUGGUUUUGCAUGGAAUGAUGUACGAAAGUGUAUUGAGGUUGAUAGCAAUGAAGUAUGGCAGUCCUAUGUGAAGGUAAUUCUAUAACAUAAUACUAGAAUUUAACUUUACAUAUUUGAUUACUUAACAUGUUCCUUUACAUACAAUUUAAUAGUAUGAUUGUGUCUACCAAACCAUAUCCUCUAGCCCCAUUCUGGAACAAAAUAAGAUUAUUUGUAUUUUAUGGAUAAUGUGAUUUGUUUUCGCAUUGCAAGUUAACAAAGAAACAGAGGGCUGGCUAGGAAAAUCGUUUCCAUUGUGUGACAUAUUGAAUGUUAUUUUUGGGAAAGACCGAGCAACUGAAGUAGGAGCUGCAACUCCUACUGAGAUAAUGAAUAAGCUUGAGCACAUUAAUGAAGAUGAAGAUGAAGAUGAGGUGGAGACUAGUUCUCCUUCUGUUGCCCGACGGUCAAGCAGUUCAAGUACCCGGAAAAGGAAGAGAGCUGCUAAUGAUAAUGAUCUUGCUGUGGCAUUUAAAGAAAUGCUUUCUGAAUCAGUGGAUAAUUUAGGUGAAGUUUUACAAGCUGCUUUUGGGAAAGGAGUGGAUCCAAAACCUGAGAUUGCUUCUGAAUUGUCAAAAAUGGAUUUGUCUAUUGAAGAUCAAAUCAAGGCACUAAAUAUUCUUUUCGAAAAGCCACAUAAUGAGAGAACAUUCUUGUCUUUGGAUGGUGCAAUAAAAAAAGCUUUCGUACUCAAGUUACUUGGACAAAGUAACCGCAAUUGACAUUUCAAACCAACAAUAAUAUACUUUGUUAAAAGCAGCAUGCAUAUCUUUUGUUAAAAGCUGCAGCAUGCAUAUAUUUUGUUAAAAGCGGCAUGCAUAUGUUUUGGCUAUUUGGACAAACUGUUUCUUACUAAAACCAAUUUGCAUUUGUAUAUUUUAUGAACUUGAAUAUGUAGUUGGAUUAUAUAAUGUAACGAUUGUAGUUGUUUUUUGUGAACAUUCUUUUAUGUUAUUGGAAAAUAUUUUAAAUUUGAUGUAUGAAAUUUACUAUGUUUCUUUGUUUUUUGAAAAUUUGUGUGGUUUUCAAUAGGUGUAAAUAUGAGAAAAGUUCAACAAACAAAGAAAGAUUUGUUUUUUUUUUUCUCUUGUCCUCUCCGGUUCAGUACCAAACACAGUAUAAAUAAUACGGUCAUUAAUCCGAAACUGCACCAAACGCCCGACUAAUUUAGUCAGUACUAUCCGGUGGCUAUUUAUCCUAUCCGACAGAAAUAGUCAGUACAGUCCGAGCUGCCAAACGAGGCCUUAGGGUUUUAUCAUAUAAAAGCCUAUUUUUUAUCUCGUUAAAUAAAAGUAUACAAAUAAAAACCAAUUUUUAUCUAAAACUCUGAAUUACAAACAAUGCAUUCUGUCAAAAAAAAAAUAGUUGAAUAAAAUUAUCCAAAUAAAAGCCUUUUUUUUUAGGAAAACUAAUGAAAAAGAUUUUGAAAAUUUUGAGUUUUAAACGAUAAGAACAAAAUAAAAGGUAAAGUAAAUAGUAAAUAGUAUCAAGAUUGACUUUUGAGUUUUAACGAUAAGAGCAACUUUUCUUGAGCUUCAAUUCUAAUCUGAAACUUUCUUUUGAACCUAUUUUAAAAAGUAGCAACAACAAUUAGAAGAUGGGCCACAUGUAAUGAUUCAUAGUCCAAUUUACUUUAGUCCAAGAUUGACCUAAUUUUAUGCAUCGACAAAUUUUAAUCAAAUAAAAUGUAAAAAAAAAAAACAGACGAUAGCAAGUAAGUUUUCGGGGUGAUCCGGAAGACAUGGAUGUCAACAAAAUAUCCAAAGUACCACUAGAGGAGGGCUAUGUAUACGAAAUGCAUAAAUAGGAAUGCAAAUAUCCAAAGCACCACUAGAGGAGGGCUAUGUAUACAAAAUGCAUAAAUAGGAAUGCAAAGACGAGACGCUAAUAUCAAAAUGUCCCUUUUAAUAAAGAAAAAAUCCAAAGACAAGGUGCCUAUAUCAAAACUCCCCAUUUUAAUAGUAGCUAAGUACUGGUAAACCAAGCUGUAAUCAAACCGGAGCUGAUAAGUACUGGUUUCAUAUACCCUUGUUGUGAAAAGAUUCUCAUAAACAACACGUAACUGAUUGAGCACUUAAAUGUGUCUUCGUGUACAUACGGCAUGAUCAAUUUAUGAAUUUCACACGUAGGAAAACUAAAAGAGUUCAUUUUCCACAUUGUUUCUUUCAGUUAUCGGGCAUUGUCCCCACAUUAGUUAAUGCCCUGCAUUGAGAUCAGCAAUUCAAUCAAAUCUGGCGUCAGUCCAGUGACUUCAGCUAAUUGAACAACUCAGUUGUUGAAAACAUCGCAAUUUUAUGUAAUUCUCUUUGAAACAAUGGAUUUGGGUACAUGUGAAAACUCUAGGAUCAGGACUCAGUCCAAAACAACAUAUGAGAUAACAACCCUACGACUCUUCUAUAUGAAUUAAACACUUGGAACUAGUGAAAAAUGCAUUGUUUUGCCGAAAGAAAAAUAAAAAUAAAAACUCGAUCCUUAUAGGAAGCCAUCAGUGUGAACACAUAAUGUGAAUAUAGAAACAUGGUGUGGGCUUAUCCUUGAAUAUAAAUAGGGUAGCACGUUCGAAGCUAUGGAGCAAGUAAAUCACACGAGAAAACGAGAAAGAGAGAAGAGGGAAGGGAGAAAAAAAAAAGAGACAAGUGAGCGUGAUCAUCCCCAUUUAACAUGGCAGCACCACUACCAAACCCUUUUGCGUGGCAAUCUAACCACAACAGCAAGUACUUGCACUUAGAUGGAGAAAUCGGAGGUCAAAGGGGGAUUCUCGAAUUCACCGAAGAGGAUCCUAAAUAUGUUUUCAAACGGGAUACGUGAAAAUCAAGUGCUCUGAAAACAAAUUAUACUUGAAAGGAGUGUGGAAUCAAACUUAUGAAACAUGGUUGAUCGUGGCCGCUGCUGAGAAGGAUGAUGAAGAUUCCACAUCCUUCGAGCAUAAGCCAGGCAAUUCAAGCUUCCGAAUGCGCCAUGUGAAGAGCAACCUCUAUUUAAGGCCAUACAAGAUAGGUCAUUCGGACGCAGUCCUCUGCGCAGUCAAGCCAGCUCCUGACGCUGGAAAUGAGGAUCUCUUUACAGCCUAUAGGCAUCCAUGAUCAUAACUAUGACUUGAUGUUUGUGGGUAACGUCUCUGGAAACCCUCACGAGACUUCACUCGUUCCAUCAGGGUCACCUAUGGGUUGAAAAGGCUUGUUGCAUGCGCUCAAUGCAAUCGAAUUCCCUGCGAAAGUGGCAUUAGUUUUCAUCACUGGUUUUUCUUGGUUUUUUUUUUUUUCUAAGUACUUUAGUUUCACUGUAUUACGUGUGUGUUAAACCAAUAAACACAUAUCGUAUGAGCUGUGUGGUUAUGUCUUAUGUGUUGUAGUGUUCAAUAAAAGUUGUGUUUCUUCAGAGUUCUUACUUUUAUGGACGUAUGUACGACUUUAAUUCCAUAUUUUGGUAGCUUUGAGUACUAAAUAAACUAAUUAAGAAAUCGAGAAGGAACUUCAAACUUGCUACUCCAUUCUAAAUAAGUGAGAAGAGAAGAUUGAUAUCUUGCAUCAACUAGGGUUUUAUCAGAUAAAAGCCAAUUUCGUAUCUCGCUAAAUAGAAGUAUACAAAUAAAAGCCAAUUUCUAUCUAAAUAAAACUCUGAAUUACAAACGAUGCAUUCUGUCAAAGAAAAAAAAAAGUUGAAUAAAAUUAUCCAAAUAAAACCCUUUUUUUUUUCUCGUUUUGCUGACAUGUAUAAUAUAUUAGCAUUUAGCAACUUCUUUCAGAUAGAAUACAAGCAGCUAUGUGAACAAGUAAAAUUAUAGGCACAUUCCCAUCAAUCGAACGGAUCAAAAGCAAUCUCGCAGGGGCCACAAGAUUCGAACCAUUAAGCAGACGAACCAAAACACAAAAAGAUCGAACUGUAAACCGAAACUUAAAAGAUUCAGAAGAAAAAUAGAAGAAAUGGAGAGCUGUUUUGUGGUUCAUAUUGGAGCUAAUGGAACAGAACAAUCGAUCAAAUUGUAGAGGGGACAAAAGGGGUACGAGAGCCUUGCAUUUAGAAGAAUCUAAAGAUGGUUUUGAGAGAAUAGAAGAUACCCAGUUGUGCAAACUCUGAUCGGUCGGCUCCGGUUGAUCCGGAAGCUGCAAUGGCGGCGGUCGUGGAGGUUCUUGGGGGCGGUGUUGGGCGGUGCGGUGCAGGUCACGCACGGGCGGUUGAUGGGGGAGAAGAGAAAAGAUGGGGUUUUGGGAUUGAAAGCCUUCUCAAAUCCAUAGAAAAAUGCAUGUGAUUAGCGCUUCUGGGUAAGUCGAUUUUGUGGGUUUUGGUGCAGGGUUUAUGAGAGUGAAGCUCCCAUGGAAUUUUGCUUUGAGAUUUUAGAGGAUGCGGAAGAGCCACGAUGCUAGAGAGAGAGAGAGAGAGAGAGAGGGUCUUUAAGGUUUGUUAUUCUGAUGUGGCCCUUGUGGGUUUAAGGCUGUGCCGUAACGCAGAAGGCACAAGCAACAACCACGAUUUAUUUUUAUAUUUUUAAUUUUGAUUCUUGAAGAAUAUUAAAAUUUUAUAAAACAUUGAUGUAAAUUACAUAUUCAUUUUAAUCUUUUAUUGCGUACUUAAUUCAAAUUUAUAUCAUAUUUUUGUUUUUAUAUUUAAUAGAUAUUUUAUUUAAUCCCUCCACAAAAAAUUUUAAAUUUAUUAUUAUACACAUUUUAAUUCAUCAAUUUUAUUUAACUUCCUCUAAUUAGGGUAUUUAAACGUAUGUAUUAUAGUAUUUUUUUAUGAACUUGUGUAAUGAAAUGUUUUUACCUAAAUGUAUUGUAAUGAAUUAGUGGCACAUAAGAAAAUAUGAAAAAACAAAGUGUACUGUAAAAUCCAUACCUAAACAUAUUAUACUAACUAGUGUACUGAAAUGUUAAUACCUAAAUAUAUUAUAAUGAAAUAGUGGCACAUAAGAAAAUAUGCAAAAAAAAUUAAGUGUACCGAAAAGUCUCUACCAAAAUAUUUUCUUAAUUAUAUAAGAUACUUACUGACACACUCCGACCGAGAUCAAGGCAUGUUAGCCGUCACGUGAGAGUGACGUAGCCAUAUGCACAGUGCGGAAGCAAUAUAGAUAAGAAUUAUACGAAUAAUUAAAAACUAAUUUACUAUACUAAACAGAACGUGAUAGGAGUUAGUUACAACAGUAAACACUCAUAAUCAGAGCAUAAAGUCUAGGUGCAGUCCAGUAGGACAAGUACUAGUUAUACAGGACCAAGAAUGUCCUACUAUUAUUUAGAUAAGUCAGAACUGCCGACGUCCUCAAGCCACCAACAGCAAGCUUACUUAAAACCUGGAGGAGCGCAAAACAGAAAACGUGAGUGGGCAAAAACAAUUGUUUUACAAAAUCAUUUCAUUUAUCAACAUAUCUAACCCAUCGCUGUAAAACAUGUAUAAUUUUUCCAUAAUCAAGAUAUAAGCAUAUACAUAUAUAUAUCUCUCUGAAAUCAUAACAAUUCAAUUCAUGCUUCACAUAAUCAUAUUCAUAUGUAUGCCAUGCCAAAAUAUAAAAGUAAACAAUUCAGGUAAGAAUGAUUUCAUAGAAAUAUGAUAUGUUAGCCAGAACUCCUAUGGUAGUCUAUACGGCUGAAUUCAUAGCUCAAAAGUCAAUCUAGCCGGAGUCACUACAAUGACCUAUACGGCAAUAUACUACACAUAAGUCGGAACCACUAAAAAUGGGUCUGUACGACAAGAUUGGGUGUAAAUUGCUAGUCACCUACGAGUCGGAACCAUAAAUAAGGUCUGUACAAUAAGACAAUGCACUUAAGUUGGAUCCAGUAUGAGCAUAUAGUGCAGGAGGUGACGUAAAUAAACAGGCAUGUACUUCAUAUCUCUGGGUAAAUCACAAUUACCCUAGGUGCAGUUUUAUGAGCUCAACAUUAUUCAAUCACAUAUCACAUCAUCGAUGAUUCACAUAAUCAAACAUAACUUACCUGAACUUACCUGUGCCUCCACAACACCACAUUUAUAUAUAUAUAUAUAUAUAUAUAUAUAUGCAACCAUGAAUUGCAUAUUCAUAAUAUAAAAGCAUUUGGCAUAUUAUUUCAAAGCAUACAUUCCUUAAAAAUGCAUUUCUGGGAAAUAUAUCAAGUAUAUAAAUAUAUAUUGAAAACAAAAGCCCACUCACUGGUAUGUCAAAGGGUCAUAGCCCCCGAGUCGCCCGUGGAUACGCUCGUCCUCGGGAUAAGUCUCACCUAUUUGCGAAUUAACUAUAAAAACGUUAUUUUAAAGCACAUAUACAAAACUAGCUAAUAACUUCUCAUACAAAACUCAAUUUUGGUAUUUGAAUAUACCAACGUGACCUACACAACCUCACGAACAUCGUGAUAUUUUUAGAAUAAUUUUUCUGUGGCUCACGCGCCCUCACGCGCCGGGGAGGGCACGGCCUCACGCGCCCUCACGCGCAUCACUUUCAACCUCCAGAGGCCAGAAUAAUGUCACCGGCGUCGGAUUCUGGGCAGACUUGCAACUGCCUCUUUCUCGCUCGUUUUUGCACCAUUUUUUAUAAAAUUUUCACCAAAAUGUCAUAAAUCACGAGAAGAAUAAGGUUAUACCUCUUGGGAGCUUCAAAUCCCUCAAAAACUCGUCUGGAGAAUCCUCUCAAAACUGGCCACCUUCGAACGUCAUGAUCCCGACGUCAAAACCGAGCUAACGAAGCACUCCGAGCUUCGUGAAAACCUCCUAGAGCUCGCGGUGAGCUUGGAUUGUCCUGAAAUGGGUACCAUUGCACUCGUAUGGUCCUCACGAACACAAUGGUACCAUUUUCUUCCUCGAUCUGCGAAGAUUUGGCUUGGUUCAAGGUUGUCCGUACGGAGGAGAGGGAAAAGAGAGUGAGUCCAAGAGAGAGUACGGGAGAGAAGAGAGAGAAAUGAUAUGGAUGUGUGUGUGUGGUUCCAAAAUGUACACCAAUCAAAACUCUUUAAUCUUUUAGCUCUAAUUAGGUCCAAUUAGUUAGGGAUAAAACUAAUUGACCCAAUUUCUUAACCUAAAAUACAAACACACACCCGACGUUCAAGGGUAAAUUCGUCUUUUCACAACCGCGAUAAUUAUUUCUCGGGACGGGCUGUGACACUUACCAUAAAUUGGUGAUGGAAAAUGUCGACAAAUAAAGUUAAUUCAUUAGAAUUUAUAAUAUUUUGCAUAAAAUGUAAUUCAUGGACACCAUAAAAUUAUAAAAGAAAAACAUUAAAUGCAUAUGCUGGCAUUAAACAUAGUAUAGAGACUAAAAUUAAUUUUUAAUCUUGUAUAAGACAUUUUUCCAAAUUUUAUCUUAUUUAAAGAUUAAAAUUUAAUUUUAUAGUUUAAAAUUUUGACCAAAUAAAAUGUAAAAGAACAAAAGACAAAAGAAAGUAAAUUUUUGAGGUGAUCCGAAAGACAUGGAUGGCAACAACAGCAUCCAAAGCACCAGUAGAGUCUUAACAGCUAAAGAAAUGUAGAAGAAAUCUUAGAGAGAAAUCGAAGAAGAAGGAAGAAAGAGAGAGAGAGAGAGAGAGAGAGAGAGAGAGAGAGAGAGAGAGAUAGAGAGAGAGAAGGAAACUGAACAGUCUUUCUGUAUUGUAUUGAAUCAAUGAUUACACAUGGUUUGCUAUACAUAUAGUUGUUUACAAUUAAUGACUCAGCAUUCUCUUUCUUAACCAACUAACUAACUUGUAACUGACUUGUACUAAAUGGCAUGUGGUGUAUGUUAAGCUAUUAUACACCCUUAGUUAUCAAUUAUUAUCCCCCCUCAAUCUUAGCUAGGGUAACCUAGUCUGAGAUUGCAACAAUGGCGAAUAAAAGCAGGACCAUGCAACCCUUUUGUCAAGAUAUCUAUAGUUUAAUGGUCAGUGGGCACAUACUGAACUUGUAAAUCCUUCCCUUGAACCUUUUUCACGAACAAAAUUAAAAUUUGUGUCCAAAUGUUUAAUGCGUGUAUGAAACACAGGAUUUGAACAGAGAGCUAAAGCAGAAAGAUUGUCACAUUGCAACAAUGGUGGUUUAGAAAUGAACUGAUGCAGAUCUUUUAACAAUAGUCUUAUCCAGACAAUAUCAGCUGCACAAUGUGCCAAGGCUUUAUAUUUUGCCUCCGUUGAACUUCUUGAGACUGAGGCUUGCUUCUUAGACUGCCACGAUAUAGGAUUGGACCCCAUGAAAACAACAAACCCAAUAACAGAUCUCCUUGUAUUCGGAUCGGCAGCCCAAUCAGAAUCUGAGAAAGUAGUUAAGGAAAUGUCAUGUGAUGCUGAAUAUGUAAUUCCACACUGCAAAGUGCCUUAUAUAUACCUUAAGAUUCUUUUAACUAUAUCAAAAUGUAUAUCAGUAGGAGUGUUCAUAUAUUGACAAGCCACACCCAUAGCAUAGGACAAAUCAGGUCUAGUAAAAGUUAGGUAUUGCAAAGCACCAACUAGACUUCUAUAUGCACUUGGGUCUUCCAAAAUCAUACCUUCAGUAGCCAGAAGUUGAGUAUGAGGCUUGCAUGGAGUUGCAAUAGGUUUACAGCCAUCCAUUCCAGCUUUAUGAAGCAAAUCGCUUGCAUACUUAUAUUGAUUGAUGAAAAUAUCCCCAUUGGCUUUAUACUCAACUUGUAAUCCCAGAAAAUAACCCAAUCUACCCAUAUCCUUUAAUUCAAACACAUCUCCAAGUUCCUGAAUUAUAGCUUGAACCUGAUUCUUAUUGGAUCCAGUGAGAAUAAUGGCAUCCACAUAUAGUAAUAGAACAACAAUAUCAGUGCCAUCAUGUUUCACAAAUAAACUUGUAUCAGAUUGAGACAUUUGAAAACCCAUUGCAGGUAAGUAUCCUGUAAAUUUGGCAUUCUAUGCUCGUGGGGCCUGUUUCAAGCCAUACAAAGACUUCACCAACUUGCAUACAUAUUCAGGAUAAGUAGAAUCCACAAACCCUUGUGGCUGUUUCAUAUAAACCUCUUCAUCCAAUUCACCAUGCAAGAAUGCAUUCUUAACAUCCAACUGUCUCAAUUCCCACUGAAAUUGAGCUGCAAGAGAAAUGAUUAACCGAAUUGUGCUAUGUCGCACAACAGGACUGAAUGUCUCAAAAUAAUCUAGUCCAUGUUCUUGAUUAUACCCUUGAGCUACUAAUCUAGCUUUAUAUCUUGAAAUAGACCCAUCAGGAUUCUUUUUCAGCUUGUAAACCCAUUUGCUACCAACAACUGCUCUGUGUGUAGGUGAAGGGACUAGCUUCCAUGUGGCUUGACCUUUCAAUGCAUCGAACUCUUCUUGCAUUGCUCUUUGCCAAUUAACAUUUGUAGAUGCACUUCGAAAGUUUGUAGGUUCUGCUAAAUCAUUAAUUUAAGCCAAAAAGGAAAACCCUCCAGUACCAUAGUUAUCAUGUUCAUCAAUCUGUAAAGUUGACAGCUGAGGAAAGCUAGCUAUAAAGGCUGAAUAAUCUUUUCUUGAAAUAGCGCCUGUUUGUAACCUAGUUUGCAUCCGUGGAACAGAAUUAUUAGAUUGAAUAUGCUCAAAUACUUUAGAAGAGAUUAGAGGAAGAGUUACCUCUAAUUGUGCAGGAUUGUGGACAGGUAACAUCAAAGCUGUGUGUGGAGGAGAUGAGUAAGUUGUUUCAGUUGACUGAGAAAAUGUUGUUGUUGAAAUAUGAGGGCUUGUCCCAACUGUACUUGCACUAGUCUCAUUAGCUGUUGUACUAACGGAAUGUGGAGAACUUACACCUACUGAAUCAGGUGUCAUAUUUCUGCUAUCAAAAUCACCAGAACGAGGCUGCACUAGAAGUGUAACAAUAAUAGGACCAUUCACAGACCUAUCUCUGAAAGAUUCACUCGAAGAAGAAUACUUGUUAGUACAACUCAUGACUUUGUAAGGAAACACACUUUUAUCAUGUAUAACUUGCCUGGAUAUAAUUAGUUUCUGAGACUGCAUAUGAAAACAUAGUGCUCCCUUAUAACCUUCUGCAUAACCAACAAACACACAUUAAACAACCCUUGGUUGCAAUUUGUUCUCAUUAUAGGAUCAAAUAUAGGGAUAUACUGCUGUUCCAAAUAUCUUAAUAUCUUGUAAACUAGGCUUUGUACCAAACAGCAACUGAUAAAGGGAUUUCAUCCCUAAUGUUUUACUUGGCAUCCUAUUUAUGAGAUAUACAGAAUGUGCAUAGGCAUGAAACCACAAGUUCUGAGACAAAUGAGCAGUGGUCAUUAAAGUAAUGGCAGUCUCUAUGAUGUGUCUAUGCUUCCUUUCAGCCAUCCCAUUCUAUUGAGGGGUGUAGGGACACAAAAUCUUAUGCACUACACCUUUAAGUUUCAAGAAAUCAUCAAACUGUUUACUUAUAAACUCUCCACCUCCAUCAGUUUGAAGACAUUUAAUGCUAACAUUAAACUGAUUAUGAACAAAGCUGAAAAAUCUCUGAAAUACACCAAAAACUUCUGAUUUAUUGAUUAAAGGAAAUAUACAUACAUGCCUUGUGAAUUCAUCGACAAAACUAACAUAGUAUCUAUAUCCUUCUAUAGAUCUAGUUGGUGAAUGACCCUAGAGAUCGGAGUGAACCUUCUGAAAUGAAAAAGUAGAUGUAUUUGUCCUAUCUAGAAACACCUGCCUUGACAUUUUUUCAGAAAUACAGAAGGAACAUACAUGUUUAUUAUCAUCUACUGUAAUAGCUAUAUCUGAUAGUUUCAUCAUCUCUGAAAGCACUUCAUUGCUGGGAUGUCCAAGUCUUUGGUGCCAAAUUGUAGACUUCACCUUAUGUCCAAGUAAUGCUACUGACUUCUGAACUGAUGGAGACAAACACCCUGGGAACAGCUUUACUGGAAUCUGAAACAACUCACCAUCCUCACUCCUUCCUUGGUAAAGAACAGCUUUGGUUACCUUGUCUUGCACAUAGAAAUUUACAUCAUCACAUAUGAACCAACAGAAGUUAUCUUUGCACAAUUGUUUGACCGAGAGUAAAUUCACAACUAUAGUUGGCACAUGUAAAACAUUUCUCAAGAUCAAAGAGUAAGGUAAUGUAUUUAAAUGUGUAGACCCAAUAUGUAUGAUUGGCAAACCUUCACCAUUGCCAAUUGUAAUUUUGUCAUUGCCUGCAUAUGAAGUGACUUGUUGCAAAGAAUCAAUGUUUGCAGUCAUGUGAUGAGAAGCCCUAGUAUUUAUAAUCCAAGAAUCAUUAGGUAAAACUGUUGGUGGAGCAUGAGCUUGCAUUGCUGUGAGAGUAGGAGCAGGUGGUGUCCCUUGAUAGGCAAAGUUAUUUCUGUGAUAACAGUCUAAUGCACUGUGCCCUUUCUUGCCACAAAUCUAACAUUCCAUACCCUGUCCACCUGAGCUUGAGUGAGUAGGCCUUUUUCCAGCAAUUAGGGGCUGUAUGCCCUCUUUCGAAACAAAUCUGACAUUCAUGCACUAUGUUGGGCUUUAUCUUAGUAAUACCAUACCAAGAUUGCCAGCUUCCUCCAUUUGGUCUGCCCCCAGAAUGACCACCUAUAUUGUUUCCAUAAUUCUGAGAUCUGUAUGCACCAUUCCCAUUCGGCUUGGAACCAUACUAAGGUCGAGAACCAUUAUUAUGGAACUGUCUUGGAGUAUUGGUUGUCCCCACAAAACCAUAGGCACUAGCAUGCUCAUGAUAUCCUAAAUCGUGAAAUUGUGGAAAUGGAUAAGAUGGAGGAAACAUCACUGGUGCUGAAGACUGUGGAAAAGGCAAAUGUAUCGGAGCUUGAGACUGGGAAAAAGGAUAUGUCAUCUGUGCAGCAUUUGAAGAUAAUGCCCCUGAGCUAUAGUGUUCUUGAGACUGAGAAAACGGAUAUGGAAUAUGUGCAACAUUGGAAGAUAAUACUCCUGAGUUAUAAUGUUCUUGUGACUGUGGAAAAAGAUAUGGCAUCUGGACAGCAUUCGAAGAUGAUGCUCCUGAACUAUAAUGUCCUCCAAAAACAGAACGUGCACCUGGUACUAGUGUUAGAGUACCUCCAGUAAUGAAAGGCACAUUAACAGAGUUACUAGAAGACCCUUGAGCCAUGGAGGAAUAAGAACCAGAACCAGUAUUCCCUUGCAUAUACAAUCCAGCAAUAUUUGGAGACAAAUUUUGAAUAACAGAAUCAGCUUCUCUUUCUGCACACAAUAACUGCUCCCUAAACUCUCUUAGCGUUAUAGUUGUAUCUCUUGUAAAAAUUACAGUUCUUAUAACCGAAUAUUCUCUUGGUAAACCAGACAAUGCUGCAACAAUAAAAUCAUUAUCACUCACUACUUCUCCCACUGCAACUAACUGAUCUUUAAUAUUUCUAAGACGAGACAGAUAAUGAUCAAUCGAACUUGGCCCUUUCUGCAUAGUCUGAAACUCUGUCUUGAGGGUAUUAACCCGAGCUUUAGAAACAGAUGCAUAUCGAUCUUGCAAAUUUAUCCAAGCUUCAUGCGCAAUUCUAGACCCUAAAACAUACUCAAUUGACUCAUCCAACAAGGUAGCAAUCAAUAAACUCAGAAAAGCAAGAUCCACAGACUCCCAUUCCAAGAAUGCAUCAGAAACUGUAUUAGUGACCUCGUGAUCCGCACUAACUACAUACUUUAGUAGACAAACAGAACCAUCAAAAUGACCAAACAGUUUAUAGCCUUUGAGAACAGAAGUAAACUGAAACACCCACUUCACAAAAUUCUUAUCAUUCAGCUUAAUGGUCAGCAUGCCUAAAAGGCUCUCCACUUUCACAAAUGACGACGUUAUGUGUACAAUUUGUAAGAAAACAAAGAAUCUUCACACAGAACUUUAAGAACCUUCAAUCCAGAACAGUAAACACCCAAUUCAACAAACUACACAAAUCAAGAAAUGACUGGCUUUGUGCCCACAACAAUCUACAGCAAAGUAAUCACCAAUGGCUUUGUGCCCACUACAAAUCAAAACUCAAGAAAUGGCUUCGUGCCUUCACAAACUACAGACAACCAGAAAUGGCUUCGUGCCUCCAAAUCGACAUAUUUGCUUACAACUUUGAACAAUCACUAGCAAUAACAGAACUACACAGAAAUUAGGUCAAGAAAAAUUAGGGAAAUUUAACCUGAAUCUGUCUUCAACUCACAGAACGAAGAACACCAAAAUCACCAUUGAUGUAGCACGCGAACCCAUAAUCCACACAGAAGAAUCACUGCCUCGAUACCAUCUUAACAGCUAAAGAAAUGCAGAAGAAAUCUUAGAGAGAAAUCGAAGAAGAAGGAAGAAAGAGAGAGAGAGAGAAAGAGAGAGAGAGAAAGAAAGAAAGAGAGAGAAAGAGAGAAAAGGAAACUGAACAGUCUUUCUGUAUUGUAUUGAAUCAAUGAUUACACAUGGUUUGCUAUACAUAUAGCUGUUUACAAUUGAUGACUCAGCACUCUCUUUCUUAACCAACUAACUAACUUGUAACUGACUUGUACUAAAUGGCAUGUGGUGUAUGUUAAGCUAUUAUACACCCUCAGUUAUCAGUUAUUAUAGAGUAGGGCUAUGUACACAAAAUGCGUAAACAGGAAUGCAAUCACAAUAACAGUUAAGUAUUGGUAAACUAAGUUGUAAUAUCAAAGCGGAGUUGAUAAGUUCUGGUUUCACAUAUCUUUGUUGUGGAAAGAUUCUCACAACCAACAAGUAACUGAUUAAGCACUUGAAUAUGUCUUUGUGUACAUAUAGCACGGUCAAUCCAUAACUUCCACAUGUAUGAAAAUAAAAAAAGUUCGUAUUCCAUCCAUAUUGUUUAUGUGGGACCAUGAUUUUCCGGGCCGAAAUAAAACUUAUCUAAAUGCUGUUACCUUAGAAGUCCGACCAUGUACUCACUAGCUCUGUGCGGAGCUGUAUCAGACGGAGUAGGGUGCCAACAUCACUUUACUCUAGGGCACCAGGUGGACCAUACUUGCGCUUAGAUGAAAAAUGUCAACAGUAAUGCUAUUUUUACCAUGUUUUUAUACUACAUUUAUAUACUACCUUAUGUGGUAUCUAAUGUGGACAGCCAUAUCAUUUAAAUUAAUCAGAAUUUAAUUUAAAUUAAAAACCACUUAAUAAACCAAUAAUUUAAACUCAUUUUAAUGGUUCAUAAUAAGCUUUGAAUUACAAACGAUGCAUUCUGUCAAAGAAAAAAAAAGUUAAAUAAAAUUAUCCAAAUAAAAGCCUUUUUUUUGGGGGGGGGGGGGGGGGUUUAGAUCCAGGUCAAAAAACAUAAAGUGUUUUUAGGAGUGAGUCCAGUUAUCUAAUUAUAUGUUUUUAUUUCUUUUAUACUCAUUGUAUAUUUCUAAAAAUAUUAAAAUCAAUUAAAAUCUUCUAAUAUUAUGCAUUUUCCAACUCCAAAAAAAAUAAUUAAUAUCUUAUAACAAAAACACUAAUAUACGAACAUAAAUUUAUCUGCAAAACAUUCUACCCUAACUCCAGUAACAAAUAUAUGAAUGUAUAUUAUACCUAUACGUGAGAUAUGAAACCUAAUUAAAAGGUAGAAAACAUAACAUAACUACAAGCAAGACACAUUAAUCUGUGACAGAUUGAUUAUAAAAAAAGAAUUUGUCAUAUAGGUAGAUAAAUAUAAUAUAAUUAACCUGUGGAUUAUAAAAAUUAAAAAUAAAAUCUAUAAAUGAAGUUUAAAGCAGGAGGAAGAACGAGAAAUAACAAAAAGAUAAAUAAAAAGAAAUAAGCAAAGACAUAAUUGGGAAGAAAUUUGAUUUUUAUAAUAAAUCUUAUCAUUAAACAUAUAACUAUUGAUAAUUAAAUAAUUAAAUACAACAAAUUGGACUUAUUUUAAUAAAAUGGAUUAUUCCUAUUGGCUAAAAAAUUGGACUUAUAUCAAGUUUCCCUUUUUUUUUCUCGUUUUGCUAACAUGUAUAAUAUAUAUAUUAGCAUUUAGCAACUUCUUUCAGAUAGAAUACACGCAGCUAUGUGAACAAACAAAAUUAUAGGCAUCCAAAAGAGUGUUAAAGUCUUUGUCAUCGAAGUGUUGUAGUAUCUUGUAAACGAAAGCAUCUUGUUUCGAAUUCACCUCCAUUUGAACCAACAUAAUCAAAGCUUCCUUUACUAUUUAAGUCAAAAUGUAUGGAACCCCACUCAACCUUAAGCUUUGUAUCUUUAUUUUCUUCUCUUAUUCCUUGUUCAUAAAUCUGAAAAGUUGAUCCAUUGUUCUUCUUAUGAGCAUCAUUCAUCAUCUCUGCUGUGUUUCCUCCUCGAUCUUGUUCGCUCAUAUUCUCCAUAAAAUUCGAUAGAGCCAAAUUGAAAUCCGUUAAUUGUGCUCUUGUUGCUUCUAUAUUAUGGGACCCUUUUACGUCGAGGGUGAGACCCUUUUGGGCCUUCUCCAAUAUGGCUUGCAAGUACUUCUCUUGAGCUUCAAUUCUCAUCUGCAACUUCUUUUGAACCUAUUUUAAAAAGUAGCAACAAUUAUUAGAAGAUGAGCCGUAUGAAUGUUGAGGUUCUAUCCAAAACGAAUUAGAAAUGGGAAGUGACCCUCCUUAGAAGCCACUGCAAGGUUUAUUAAACCUUCGAUGUGGGAUUCGCUUUUCACAUCGCCACAAGUAAAAGCUAGAAGAUUAUUUGGACACUAAGUUCGAUUUUAGGUAAAUGAUAGCAAAGCAACAUACCUCAAGCUGUUUUGUACUUCAAUCUGACACUUGAGAGCCUCCGACAAUGGAAUGGUUGUGGUUUCAGUAUAUUACCGUUAAUUAGUAUCCAGGCGCUCGAAACAAUCGAAACAGAAAACAUGUGAUCAUUAACUAGCUUAAGCAUCUUUUGUGAAUGGUUGAACUUUAAACAAAUACAAUGUAAAAGAACAAAGACAAAAGCAAGUAAAUUUUCGAAGUGAUAUGAAAGACAUGGAUGGCAACAACAGUAUCCAGAGCACCACUAGAGGAGGGCUAUACGAAAUGCAUAACAGGAAUGCAAUUUUAAUAGCAUUUAAGAACUGGUAUACCAAGCUGUAAUCAAAGCGGAACCAAGAAGUGCUGGUUUCACGUACCCUUGUUCAGUUUUCCCACCUCCUGAUGAUUUGAUGCCAGAACUUGUGGAAUGAAGAUUACUGAAAUGUACAUAUGAAUCCCCUAGAAUUUUAUAAUACAAAGGCAUUAGUAGAUUAUGAAGUUUUCAAAUCAGUUACUUGCAGUAACUUGAGCAAGGAAUCUAAUUUGUUUCCAGUAGUUCGUAUUUCGCUCACCGUUAUUCUCUCGGCUUUGUUCUUCGACGGAGUUGUGUUUCCGAGCAUGCUGUCCAAGUCUAUACUUCGUGAAUUGAUGAGUUUAGUAAUAUGAGAGUGAAUGAAGCUAAGUGUUAUAAGUGAACAAAAUAAAACAAAGAAAGAAUAAGCAAAGAAAAAGAAGAAAGAAUGCUUUUCAAUGAUAUAUUUAUUUCAUCUCAAAACAAGGUAUAUAUACAACCCUAUACAGAUAUGGGAAAGAAUAAGGGAAAGAAUAAUUACACCCUAAACUAGGAAACCAAUUAUAGUAGGAAUCCCACAAUUAUAGGAAUCCUAAUACAAGUCAACACUCCCCCUCAAGUUGGUGCAUAGAUAUUGCACAUGCACAACUUGUCUAGAAACGUGGAGAACUUGUCACUAGAAACCGCCUUCGUGAGAAUAUCUGCUACUUGGUCGUCCGUUCCUAUGGGAGGAACUUCAAUUACUUUACUAUCUAGCUUCUCUUUAAUAAAGAACCGGUCAACCUCUACAUGCUUGGUCCUAUCAUGUUGCACGGGAUUAUGAGCAAUAUCACGAGCAGCUUUAUUGUCACAAAAUAACUUCAUUGGCAGACCUUGUUUGACUCCCACAUCUUGUAACAGAAACUUAAGCCAUAAGAGUUCACAAAUACCGAGUGCCAUGCCUCUAAAUUCGGCUUUUGCACUUGACCUUGAUACAACAUUCUGCUUUUUGCUUCUCCACGUUACUAGAUUUCCCCCAACGAAGGUGAAAUACCCAGAUGUCGAGCGCUUAUCAUCCGUUGAUCCUGCCCAAUCAGGAUCCGUAUAGCACCCAAUUCUGAAAUGCCCAUUUUUCCAAAAUAGAAUUCCUUUACCAGGGCUUCCUUUUAAGUAACUCAAUAUUCUCAUAACUGCACUCAUAUGUUGUUCUCCUAGAUUGUGCAUAUAUUGACUAAUCACACUUAAGGCAUGAGCAAGAUCCAGCCUAGUGUGAGCCAAGUACAUUAAUCUUCCUAUUAACCUUUGAUACCUCCCUUUAUCAACCGGUACUUGGUUUUGAUCUAUACCUACCUUCAUUCCUUCGGCCAACGGAGUAAACAUCGGCUUACACGCUGUCAUACCGGUUUCUUCCAACAGGUCAAGAACAUACUUCCUUUGUGAUAGAAAUAUCCCGGACUUGCAUCUUGACACUUCAAUCCCAAGAAAAUAUUUCAAAGAACCAAGAUCUUUCAUUUCAAACUCUAUGGACAAAUAACUUUUCAAGGCUGCUUGCUCAACAGGAUCGUUACCAGUAACUACCAUAUCAUCCACAUACACAAUUAGAGCUGUAACCUUUCUGUUCUGAUGUUUCAGAAAUAACGUGUGAUCCUAAUUACUUUGCCUAUACCCAAAUGCCCUCAUGGACUUGGUAAAUCUACCAAACCAGGCUAUAGGAGACUGCUUUAAUCCAUACAAUGAUUUCUUGAGCCUACAUACCUUUUGUUUCCGUAUGUCCAACUCAUUGCACCCUGGUGGAAGGUCCAUGUAAAUCUCCUCAGUUAGAUCUCCAUGGAGGAAUGCAUUUUUUACGUCGAACUGUUGCAAAGGCCAAUCCAGAUUUGCUGCUAAGGACAGUAGAACACAAACUGUAUUGAUCUUUGCCACUGGUGCGAACGUAUCAGUGUAGUCGAUGCCAUAUUUCUAUGUAUACCCCUUUGCCACCAACCAUGCUUUAAAGCGAUCUACCGUUCCAUCGGCUUUGUAUUUUACUGUAUAAACCCAUUUGCAUCCCACAGAUUUCUUUCCGGCUGGCAAGUCAGUUAUUUCCCAGGUAGCAUUCUUCUUCAACGAUCUCAAUUCCUCGUUCAUUGCAUCUUUCCAACGGGAAUCUGCUAAAGCCUUCUGCACACUAUUAGGAAUAGAUACAGUAGAUAAUUGAUAUACAAAUGACUUAUUUGAUUCUGACAGGUGACAGGUAGACACAUAAUUGUUUAAUGGGUAUCUCACACUUGAAUCAGAAUUUGGCUCACUCAUGGAAUACUUAUGUUUACACUUAGGAUCUGCCUCAUAAGUGGGUUUGGGAAUACCUCGAUUAAUACGCUCUGGAAGACGACGAAGUGAAGGUGCAUCCGGUGUAGAAGACGAUUGGUUAGGAGAAGUAAUAUCUCGUGACACAUGCUGUAAUUGCUGCUCGGUUUCACUGCAAUUAGGUGGCUGCAUCUCGUUUUCCAACUCAAUACCUGUGAGACCUGUGGCUGCUCCUCUUCCUGACUUGUUGGCUGCUCUUCAGUAGGCUGCUCAGUGGGAUGAUGGCCAAAAUACACGGGUUGCUACCCUUCUCUAGGUGUCGUGGGCCGAUCACCACAACACAUGGGUUGUUGCCCUUCUCCAGAAGCCGUGUACUCUAGGCUCAACGUCACUAUUAUCUCGAGUCAGAACUUCUUCAUUAUUUCCAUACUCCCCCUGAAGUGAAGACGUGGAGGAUCCAAAAAACAUUUCAUUCUCGUGAAAAAUCACAUCCUGAGUAAUAAACAUUUUUUUACUCACAUGGUGAUAACAACGAUAUCCUUUCUGGGUAGUAGCAUACCCCAAAAAAAACACAACGAAUGGCUCGAGGUUCAAGUUUAGUCUUCCGUUGAGUUGGAUGGAGGUGAACAAACGCAACACAUCCUAUGACCCGUGGGGGAAGAUUGGGAGUCGGUGGGUUGCUAGUCUGAGAUGUGAGAGCCUGAAAUGGCGUAUGGAAGUUCAUAGUACUAGACGGAAGACAAUUAAUAAGAUAGGUUGCAGACGUAAGUGCCUCUCCCCAAUAAUGGAGUGGCAGAUGUGCUGCAAGAAGGGAAGCACGAACCAUUUCUAACAAGUGUCGAUUUUUUCAUUCUGCAACCCGAUUCUGUUGAGGAGUAUACGGGCACGUGGUCUGAUGAACAAUACCAUGCAACUCUAAGAAGGAACGAAGUUCCAUAUUAACAUUCUCCCCCAUUGUCACUUCGAAUAACCUGGAUAUUCCGAUUGUAUUGUACAGCAAUCAUUUUAUGGAACCGUUGAAAGGCCGAACUAACUUCACUUUUCGACUUUAACAAAAUAACCCAAGUCAUUAUGGUACAAUCGUCGAUAAAAGUAACAAACCAAUGAGCACCACCAAGAGUAGCUACUUUUGACGGUCCCCAUACAUCAGAAUGCACAAUCAUAAAAGGAACGGUACUUUUAUUUAAACUGGGAGGAAAAGAGGUUCGAUGGCUCUUAGCCAUUUCACAAACAUCACACUUAAACUGAGAAACAUCAUUCUUGACAAACAAACUAGGAAAUAACUUAUGCAUAUAACCAAAGGAAGCAUGCCCAAGGCUCCAGUGCCACAUCCAGAUGUCUAACACUUUAUAAGUAACCCCUUGAGAAUCAUCAACGGAAAGAGCUUGAGUUAGCAAGCUAGAACUACUGGUGGUCAACUCCAAGUAAUAAAGUUUCCCUCUUCUAAUACCAUAACCAAUCAUCUUCCGCGUCCGGAUGUCCUUAAAAACACAAAAAUAGGGCCAAAAAAUAACCAAACAAUGUAAGGCAUGGGUUAUUUGAGCAACGGACAACAAAUUAUAAUUUAGAGAGGGAACCAUAAGAACAGUGUCAAGUUUCAUGGUAUCGGAAAGGGAAACAGUGCCUUCCCCAAUAACAGGGACGGCAGUACCAUUAGCAACAUUGACUUCGGUUUGUGUGGAUGUUUUUAGUGAUGGAACCUGUCUAGAAUCACAAGUCAUUUGUUCAGUAACCCCGGAAUCAAUUAUCCAUGUAUUAUUCAUAACAAAAGUAGAAGUACUUAGUGCCUUACCAUCACUUCCUACCGCAGCUAUCAUGGCAGAUGCCUUGUCCGUUAUCUGAUCCGAAUCAUUCUUGGUUUCUGUAAUGGAGGCUCGAGAUUUGUUAUACCGAGGAUCACGAGUCUUAUCCCAAUUCUCAGGAUAUCCAAUCAGCUCAAAACAGCAACUCUUGGAGUGUCAUGUCAUGCCACAAUGUGGGCACUUACCUUGUGGACGAUCCCGGCUUGUCUGGCUAGGCCGAGUUUGUCCAGGCCAGUUUUGUAUCCCUUCUCGGUUCGACCCAAAAGAUGAUCCACGGGCCUUUGCUGCCAUGGCAGCGGGCUCCCCCUUGUCAACCUCUGUCUUCAUUGCUUCCUUUCGAUCGGCUUCCAGACGAACAUAGGCAUAAGAAGCCUGCAGACCAAGUGAGGGAUCCUUCCGCAGCACUUAUCCACGCACCUGAUCAAACCUAUCGUCGAGACCACCAAGAAACACAUAGACUCGUUGUCUCUCAGUGGAUUUUUGAAACACUUUGAUGUCGUUUUCACACUCCAUGGAUACUUUAUUAAAGUGAUCCAAUUCUUGGAAAAUCUCAGUGAGCUCCCCAAAAUAGGUAGCCAAAUGUCGUCCAUUCUAACGAAGACGUGAUGCCUUCUGAUUCAACGAAUAAAUUCUAGCCUCAUCAUUUUCAUCAAAGUAGGCUGCCUUAAGGGAAUCCCAAAUUUCCUUCGAUGUAGACAACCGAAUGUACCGUUUCAUAAUCUCAGGCUUCAUUGAAGACAAAAGCCAACUCUUAAUUUUUUGAUCUUCAGAGAACCAAUCAUCAUAUUUAGGAUCGUCUUCGUUAGGUGCCUUGAUAGACCCAUGAAGAUAUCCCAUCUUUUUCCUUCCAGCAAUAUGGAUUUGAAUGAGAGGAGCCCAUAAAUCAUAGUUCUUUUCAUCCAAAACCAUACCAAUAUUAAAGCUUGAAUUCUCUGACUGCACCAUAAUUGGAGCAGUCGCUGGAACAAUCUUAGAACCUGUCUCCUUUUCUUCAGCCAUCUCUCUUGCUGUCGGUAUAGCCUAAAACAAAAUUGCAACUCUGUAAUUGCCUAAUAAAAGACUAGGCAGAAAAAAAAAAAAAAAAAAAAAAAAAAAAAAAAAAAAAAAAAAACUUGCGGCGCUGAUGGGACUCCGAAAUCGUUUGAACAAACUGACAAAACAGGUGGCAGCAACAAUUUCACAAUUGCUCGCUGCAAUCGAUCAAGAACACGAGCAGCAACAACUCCUCUAAGUUGCUCGCUGCAAUUGAUCAGGGACACGGCAGGAAAAAUAAGGUUAGGGUUCGGUGUUUUCUUUUUUCUAACCCAGCUCUGGUGCCAAGAAGAAAGAAUGAUUUUCAAUGAUAUAUUUAUUUUAUCUCAAAACAAGGUAUAUAUACAACCCUAUACAGAUAUGGGAAAGAAUAAGGGAAAGAAUAAUUACACCCUAAACUGAGAAACCAAUUAUAGUAGGAAUCCCACAAUUAUAGGAAUCAUAAUACAAGUCAACAGAAAAUACCUGCAAAUCGCUUUUCAGAUGGUACAAAGUUAAUCCAUUCAAUCCCAUGAGUCAUGACCCUCAAGACAGACUUUGGAGUUGCUUCUGAAAACAGAUUAAACUUAACUGGAUUAAUUGGAGAAUUAGAAGUAAGGCUGGUUUCGGUUUGGUAAACCGAAAAUUGGAUAGGGCUUUGUUUAUUAGGCUGGAUCUUUUGGGCUCUCCCAAUUGAAUCCCAUAUUUAAGUGACUUUGAGUGCCAAAUUUUGAUGUAACUUUUAUGUGAGUUCGAGUACCAAAUUUUAAGUAACUUCAAAAUUUAAAUGACAUAGUAAAUAAGUUUAAUUUCAACUUGAAACUUGAAAUAGAAAGCAACUAGUGAAAUUCUCUAUAGCCUCUUCCGGCCCAAAAUGGGUGGAUAACCGUGGCUUGCCUACGGUUGUCCCCCUUUCUAAGUUUUGCUUACCAAAAUUGGACCGAAAAGUUCGGUAAUUUUUAGUUUGGUAAUUUCCGUUUCAAUACUUUCGGUUUCGUUUUGUAAUUUUCGAUUCAGUUUCGGUAUUUGAUUCAGAAAAUGUUAACCUAGUUAGAAGUUAUCAUGUAACAUUAUUAGUGGCUUAAUGUGUUUUAAAAUUUGAAUGGAUUAAACUGAUCAAGAACAAAGUAGUGACAAAAUCUAAUACACAUUCAAAGUUUCACCAUGAUCAUAAACAUUAUGCACGAUUUAUGAUGCUACUCGUAUUUUGUUUUGUCAAACAAUUUAACAUGUUAUAUUCUCGGAUUGUGAAUUGAGAUUAAAAGUAUGCCAGAUAAAGUAUUGCUCAAAAUUCAAAUGUGCAUAUCGUCUAAACAUGAUAACAUGCCCUAUUCAUUCAAAUGGUUCCUACCCAAAAUUCAAUCAAAUACCAGGCUCAAAAAUCCCAAAGAGUUCAUUGGAGUAACAAGAAGUAAAAGAAACAAGUCGUUGAAGGACAGAAAUUCAUCCUGAAGAAAAAUAAGAAGACACUUACUGUCAGGGCCACCGAGUUUAGUUACAGCAUCGACAAAUCUGUCGUGAAGAUCCGGCGUCCACCUCAACCUUGGUUUGGGGUCUCUCGUCAUCAUCACCCCAUUCUCAUAUCCACAAUUCCUUUCCCCUUCACAACUAACAUAAAUAUUCCUCUCCAUCAAUUAUUCAGAUUAAUUCUUCUAGCUUGUUGCAGCUGCUUUUGCUUGUCCGCCAAGUGAUUCUCAGAAACGCAGAAAGUAGCUCCUGAGAGAGACUGAUCGGAGUGGAAAGAAAGACAGAAAGCAGAAGCCGUAAGAAAAAGAAGGAACAUAGAAACAGUAGCAAAAACAAGAAUGCGUUGUUUUCAAGUGGUUUAUUUAUACUUAUUUAUUAAAACAGCAUAUGUUUGAAAUCUAAUGUAGAACUUUAUAGAUUUCGUAGCAUUUAACUAAGUUGAUCAGAGCAAUAUACUCCGCUUUUGCAUUUGUCAAGUUUAGAUUUUCUCCCCUAGUUAAGAUUAAACUAUAAGAGCACCCAAAUCUCAACUAGGUACAUAGCUACUUAAUACACCACUAACUGGCAAUGCAUUUUUAUAAUAAUCGCUAACUAGUUAGUAACGGUAAUACUGCAUGAAUCAAACCGUUAAUUGUAUUGUAUAUUUGAAUCGGAGAGAAAAGUUGGGCGACGAAUCUGAAGAGGAAGCAGCAAUGAUUCCCUUAAUAAUAAAAGGUUUGGCUGGCGGGCUGGCUUAUUCGACGGCAAGUCAUGGUUUCUAACAAGGGUUGCACGUGCAGAGAAGGACACGUUACGAAAUCUCCGCAUGCCACGGGGACUUCGAGAAUAUUAUCAGUGCCUUCCGGUAGGGUGGGUCCCUGCUGUAGGCCAUUGAUUUAUGUCCGUGAAAAGCUGUCUCUGUCCAUCCAUCCCUUCCUCUUAGAUUUGGUUGACAUUAUUUUUAAGAAAAAGAAUGGUGCAUUCAUAUGGUUGUAUCAAUUUUUAGAGGGGCACGGCCUCCUGCCGGUGGGGGACUCGGAGCUUUGCGUGUUUUAAAAAUAAAUAAUUAAGGUUGGUUUUGAAUGAACAACUUCGCUGACAUGGAUGCACCGCUAAAUUAUAUUUUGUGUUAAGAAAAUAAAGAUAUGUGAACAAAAAUAUAUGCAUAAUUUUGUUUCUUUGACAUAAAGCGUCAUUGUGGUAGUAUAUCCUUCUCCAACCUUCAAGUCUUCAAAUUAUCGAGUUGUUCCAACAAAGGAAAUAAUGGUGAAUGAUGGUACACAUGAUUGGAUUAAAAUAGAGAACCCUCAAAUUGCAUAAUGAAAGUGGAACUGUGGAAUGGUUUUUCAUUUGAAGGACACGAGAAAAGGGUUAGCUAUGAAGGAAAUUCAUCCCUUCUAAUCCUACCAUUUUAAGCAGGAUUGGAUUGAAUGAAUUUUCUUCGAGAGUAAUCCCUCUUCUAUCCUCUAGGCCAUCAUAAUUUUAUAUUUCUUCUUUCAACAUACCUUAAUUUGGUAGGCUAUAAAUUACAGUCCAAUCACGUGUAAACAAACCAUACAUUCUUAAUUUAUCAUUACAUUAAAGAAGAAGAAACUCUAUCCCAUGAGAAUGUCAAACAUGUUUGUAAGAUGAGCCAAGUUCCAAAAGACAGUUUUCCACUAGCAAAAUUUGAUUAAUUGGAAAAUAUAACUAUAAAUUCAAAAAUCAUGUAGCAAAUGAAACAAGAACACAUGUACAAAAUCAUUGUUACACACUCAUGCCUUUCGGAUUAAAAAAUGCACGAGCGACAUACCUAACACUUGAAGAUAAACAUUCACUGAAUGAAAAUAAUGAACCAGUUACAAGUUUGAGAAUUAGUCAAUACAACAAGGAGCGCGAAAUAAAGCACCAGUUGGGAUUAGAUUUUGACAGAAUCGACCGUCCAAGACGACAGGGCAAGUGCCAAAAAGGGGAAAGAAUUGGACAGUCCGGUUGAAAAAAUGGUUAAAUCUUAUGAAUCCCCCACCAGGGAUAUGCAUAUAGACCCAGAUACAAAGACUUUCAAGUUGAAUUACCGGUGAGGGGGAGAAUCAUUACUCUUCGGUCUCGAGAGGCAAAUUUUUUGUGAAUUGGAAGAAGUUUGAAUGAGAAAACUUAUUGGGGAGAGUCAUGAGUGGAUCAUUUCCACUGAGUUUUCGAACUGCCAAUCCCAACGCAUAUCCUAAAGCUCGUGCAACCGAAACUGGAACUGCAUUUCCAAUCUGACAAUACCUGCACAAAGAAAUAAGACAAUCAAUGAUAACUCAUCUUAUAGAAUAUUUCAGUUUUCUCUUUCAUUUUCUUCCUCAGUCACAUCACAUCCUGCAGAAAUAACUCAUUCAAAGCACAAAAUGAAAAGUAUAUGCAACUGUGUCAAACUGUAUCGUUUGGAAGGAGAAAUGGUCGUUACAGUGUAGACGAGUGUUUUCCAUAUUAAAAUAUGGAUCAACAAACCAGACACGAAUCAUAAACAAUUCAUCAUUUAUUGAAUAAACUUGCAAAAGGAGUCAAAUAUUCAACGUCACAUUCAUAAGAAAAACUGAAGGACCAUACCUCUCUUUAACUGUCCCACAGAACCUAUAAUAAUCAGGAAAGCCUUGCAAUCUUGCAGAUUCACGUACAGUGAGAAUUCGGUCCUGCUCCGGAUGUAAUACUACCUGCAGAAGGUUAUAGGGUUACCCCAAUAUUCAAAAGAUGAAAUGCCAUAAAGAACUAGACUAGAGAGGAUGGUUAAACCUGGUUGUGACAACUUGGGAAAGUAAGCACAGUGGGCACUGUCUCAUCCCACCAUAACCUCGCAAACGGUCUAAAAAUAUAAUUAAAUUUUUAAAAAAAUAAGAAAAAUAUGAGGAAAUAGAAUAGCAGUAAAUGGUAAAACACAUUAGAAGGCUAACAAAAAAAAAAAGAACCUUUUCGAUUUGCCUUGUUCAUAAGUAAAGCAAUAGUCUGGUACCUGGAAGGAAAAAACACUGGUUACACACUAGCCAAUUUUCAUUUUACUUAUUCACAUUAACAUUGAAAAAAAUACAUCAGUUUCAAUAGCACUCUUUAUUUCAACCUACAGAGGUUCCUGUGAGCAGUUUUGUGUCCUUUCAGUUCCAUUCAGCCCUUUAAGAUGACCUAAAUUCUCACUAUACAUACUUUCGUACAUAGCUAAAUUAUUUUGUUUCUUAUUAACAUCUAAGUAACAAAACUUAGAGUAUCAACACUCACUAAUGGCCUUCCAGAUGGCAACAGAGAAUGCUUUUCAGUUGACUCUCUCCGAGCCACAUUGUCACUUCCAACAACAACACCAGGUAGAUCCCGGAAAUUUGCUCCCUGAAAAUAGCUAUAAGUUAGAAACAACAGAUGGUAACAAAGUUAACAAAAUUUGAAAGACAAAUAAACGUGAAGUUAAACUUAUCCAUGCUAUAUAGAGUGUGUGUGUGUGUGUGUGUGUGUGUGUGUGUGUAUCCAACCUUUCUUUUUGGAAUCUGACAAACUCGUAAGUAAUCAUCUUCGUUUAAGUGGUAAGUCCGAUGGUCAUAUAGUGAAACUGUUGCUUUCGUAGUGCCAUCAAACGCAGAUCCCAUCAUCUCUACACAACCAGCGUAAAUGAAAGUUAAAAUGGAAAUCAUUUAAAUAAGUGUAGAUGGACGUAGAACAGAUCAUAUGAAUGGCCUGCCACCCAAACCAAAAUAACAAAAACAACAAACAAUUACAGGUAGCCCUGGCAUAAUGAAAAUACAAAAAAUUCAAUGUUGCUAGUAAGUAUGAUUUAUCAGUUAUAUUUGCAAUUCUACUAUACAAAAGUUUCUAUAUGUUAAACACAGAUGUCAAGCAUUUAACAUCAUUAUUUUUCAAAUGUGGAUAUGUAGGGGCAAAGGAUAAGAACACACUUUCUCAUUUGAAAUACUUGGAAUUUAGCACAUAUCAUGACAGAGGAGCUAAGCCACAUCAACCUUAGAAGUUUACCAAGAGCAUACUAACGGGGGCUCUAAGGGCCAAGAACAAAUUUGGUAUAUGCUGAUGAUGUUAAACAUUAACUGUAUACAACAAGUUCUGAAAAUAGUGAUAUUACCAUGCUGUGUUGACCUUAUAUAUCUUUGGAAAUCUGUUUCAGGAGGCUUUUGGAAUGGCAUUUCUUCUCUUUUUUCAUUGUUUGAGACCUAUAAAUUUAAACACAAUUAGAAUUUUGUUGAAUUGUAAGAGAAGAGCUAAGCUUCAAAUACGAUGAACUUACAGAAGGAAGAUCCGAGAUGGCAUCGCGAAGAACAAGAGCUUUUUCUAAUAAUUCACGAGGUUGUUCUUCAUCAUAAGCAACAGUGUUCCGCUGCACAUGAAGGCAAACAAUUUAAUUAGUAAAGAAAAAUAGAACUGAAAGUUUAAGGUUUGCUUAGAAGUACCUCAAACUCUGGUGGAGGCCAGUAUCUCACUAUGACAUCAUGUGUUGGAAGAGGAAACUGUGGCAGAUUCUGUGAAGAUAAAAAAGAGGGGAAAAUACGUCAGGCUCUUUUGGCCUUCCAAAAAUGAAUGAAUGCAUUAUUAAUCGGUAACGCGAGAAUUUGAGUGAGCUUGAAUUAUGUUUCAUAAGUCUAGUUAUGGAUUUUAUGCAUGGGGCAUGCCUUUUAGCUUUGUCUGUGCAUGUAUAUGUGUGUGACUCAGAUAUGCUAAAGAUAUAUUUUCUGUUUCUUAUUCUUUUUCUAAUGUUUGACGAUGAAAACAGUUAUAUGGCCCAUAUACGUAUUGAAAAGAAACGUAAUAACCAUACUUUUAUUUUGGGAAACCUAAACUGAAUAGUAACCAACAAGUAUCUAGCUAUCACAUAAAAGAAAUUUCAGGUCAGAUUCAUGGAAUGCUCAUUGUAUUUUUCGUGUUACUCUCGAUCAUUUAUUAAAACAAUGAAACAAAAAGAGAUCACCUCACAAGCAUGAGCACCCCACAAGAAAACACGCAACCGAAAUUGUGGAAGGCCAUAACAACCGGCAGCAAGUAUUCCCAGCCUCGCUUGGUACUUCAUAUGCACCAAACGACUAAGUGCAUAUCUUCCAAGAGAAGCUUUGUCAAAUCUCAAAAUGUCAACAACAUUUUCCAUCAGCACAAACUUUGGCUUCAAGAAGUUUACAAUAUCCAUGAAGACUACAAUUUGAUGAUUCCUCUCAUCAUCCAAUGGAGAAUCAACGUUUCUAUAGCGAUUAUAGCCGCUAAUUCCUUGGCAAGGAGGGCCCCCGCAAAUUACAUCAACAUCUCCCUGAAAUUGUACAUAUCUAUUUAGGAUUCGGAUAGCGAAACACAAGAUCAGUAUAUAUGAUACUACUUUAGCUUGUUCAAUCAGUUACUACUUACUGGAAGUGGCAAAAUUUUCACUUUCCUCCCAUUUCUUACAAAAUCCUGUAUACUUUCUUGGCAGUUACUGAGAAGAUAAAAAAAUAAAAAAUAAAAUUAGUGCUGAUGCGGAAAGUCAUAUUCAUAAUCAUAUCAUAAGAAGUGGUAUACCUUAAGCCUUCAAUUGGUUCCCAUGUAUCUUCACUGCUACCAUAACCUUUCCAAUGCACCUAGAAAAACAAUACGAUUAAAUAUUUAUUAUGAUAAAUAAUUUUGUAGAAAAAUGAGAUAAUGUUAAGAGUGAAUGAGGAAUUCACAGUCGAAUUGCAUGGAGCAAAAAUAACAGUAACAACUAUGAAAAAAGACUAAAAACCUAACAAUGGAAAACGUCACUUUACAAAAAAGUAUCUUAGGUUAAUAGUUGAUAUUGAAGACUCCCUAAAAUCUGCAGUUACCAAUGCCAAGAAAGCUGACCAAAACCUAAGUCAAUCCUACAGUUCAUCCUGCUGACUUGUGUACAUUUAAUUGUAAAGAUUAGCUGCUGAGUAAUUGUACAGACAUUUACAAGAAUUUUAAAAUUAUAGACACGACUUUUGCCAAUUCCCAAAACCUCGCAAUGCAAAAUUAUGGACGUGAGUUUUGUGAAUUCCGAAAACCAGCAACUCCUAAACUAAAAGCGGAUUUAACACUACAAUCCUCUGUACCUAAUGUAAGAAAUCAUAUAAGGUUUUCCAACCCAACUCAUGCAUUGAUUGCCUUACAUGGUAACACACAAGUUUUCUAAGUAGCGGUAACAGAACAGUAGCUAAACCACUUUGUUUUAUGCUUCAGGAAUUUCAAUAAUAACCAGAGGACAUGAUGUUACGCAUGUGUGCACAAAAUCUUUUGCAUCCCUCAAUGACAUUGCAGAUAUUGUCAUCAGACAUCUUAGAAGCAUUUUUGUUUUACCUUAAGGUUCACUCCACGCUUGCCUGUCUUAUUAGGAUCACCAAAGCAGAUAUCAACAAUCCUCGAAACUUCAUAUUCACCGGUACCAACCUCAUUACCAUUCUUUGGUACACUUAAGGUCUUCGAUCUUAAUGGAUGAGUUCUUUCGACAUCAUUGGCCUUAUGCCUUCUGCAUAACUUUUCCCAUUCCUUCAACAGUUGUAGAAAAUCCUCAGCAGUUUCAUUCCUGACCUACAAAAAGAAGCAUAGAAUUAUUCUGUAAUGUCAUUGAAGGGUAAAUUGGCUAUUACCUAGAAACGGAUAAGAUAUCUCACUUGCGUUUCUGGAUGAUUUAACUUCAAGCUUUCACAGGCAGAUUUAUCACUGUCAAGGGCCCAUUUCUACAAAAAAAAAAAAAAAAAAGUAAGAUUAGCUAUUCAUGACAACAUGUUUAAAGGAUACAGAAUCCAAAUACAAAUUAUAAAAAUAUUUAUAUAGUUGAAUACCGUGACAAGAUUAACACAGGAAAGUUUAGCACCAAAGCACAAUCCAGUUGACAUUCCACCACAACCACAAAAAAGAUCUAAGAGGGCUAAUUCUGCUUUGUAAGUUUCAGAGCUGGGCAUAUUCUCCAGUAAGUUUGAAGUUGACAGUGUACCAACUGCUUGGAUUGAAUUGCAUGAUGGCAUGUUGUGGCUCUUCACAGAAUUAUCUGAAGUAAAAAUAGACAACGCUGAACUGUCAAAUCUUGGGAAUUGACGUUUCAGUAUAAAGUUUAAUUUCUUUGUCUACAUUUUGUCCCUUUGGGUAGAUCUUGGAGGGCCAAUUAGUAGAAAUACAAACAAAACGUUUUCUAUAUAGGUAAUACAAGGAUUACCAGACUAUUUCCGUAUCCCAUUAGAUAUAGUUUCUUUAAUAAGUCAUUCAAGAUUGUUUAUUAAAUUUUAUAAUAAGUGAUGAAUGAAUUUUAAUACAAACGUCCAAAAUUACAAUAGAGGUGACCAAUCCCCAAAAUUCUUUUUGAUUGACACCAUCCGUAUGACCAAAAAACUUCCAGCACACUGAAGCCCAAGGAGUUCUACCACAUACAUAGCAACUACAACAACAACAACAACAACAACAAAGCCUUUUCCCACUAAGUGGGGUCGGCUAUAUGAAUCCUAGAACGCCAUUGCGCUCGGUUUUGUGUCAUGUCCUCCGUUAGAUCCAAGUACUCAAGUCUUUUCUUAGGGUCUCUUCCAAAGUUUUCCUAGGUCUUCCUCUACCCCUUCGGCCCUAAACCUCUGUCCCGUAGUCAUAUUUUCGAACCGGAGCGUCAGUAGGCCUUCUUUGCACAUGUCCAAACCACCGGAACCGAUUUUCUCUCAUAUUUCCUUCAAUUUUGGCUACUCCUACUUUACCUUGGAUAUCCUCAUUCCCAAUCUUAUCCUUUCUCGUGUGCCCAUACAUCCCACGAAGCAUCCUCAUCCCCGCUACACCCAUUUUGUGUACGUGUUGAUGCUUCACCGUCCAACAUUCUGUGCCAUACAACAUCGCUGGCCUUAUUGCCGUCCUAUAAAAUUUUCCCUUGAGCUUCAAUGGCCUACGAUGGUCACACAACACGCUAGAUGCACUCUUACACUUCAUCCAUCCAGCUUGUAUUCUAUGGUUGAGAUCUCCAUCUAAUUCUCCGUUCUCUUGCAAGAUAGAUCCUAGGUAGCGAAAACGGUCACUUUUUGUGAUCUUCGCUAGAUUGCUCCGGUCAUUAGUGUGGAUAAGUAUAUAAAUGGAUAGAGAUAGGAAAGCAAACACAAGAUGUAUGUGGUUCACCCAGAUUGGCUACGUCCACGGAAUAGAGAAGUUCUCAUUAAUUGUGAAGGGUUUACACAAGUACAUAGGUUCAAGCUCUCCUUUAGUGAGUACAAGUGAAUGAUUUAGUACAAAUGACAUUAGGAAAUAUUGUGGGAGAAUGAUCUCGUAACCACGAAACUUCUAAGUACCGGAGUGUGGUAUCGUCUUGACUUGCCUUAUCUGUCUCAUAGGUAGAUGUGGCAUCUUUUCUGGAAGUACUCUUCCUCCAUCCAGGGGUGGUAUCUGUAACUGGUGGAGAUGCACAAGGUAAUGUAUCUAUUUCACUUGAAGCUUACUUGUAGUUUCAGGCUUGGUCAAGCGCGAUACAAACCAUGUAGUAGGAGUCCCCCAAGUCGCCGAGCUAGGGGAUCUGCUGAAAGAGGUGACAGACAAGGUAAGCAAUCAGAGCUCCGGCUGAUUGUUCACAUUCUCCCUAUCUUGCAGGCAGCAUGAAGGAUAAAGAGAAGAAAAAUGAGAAGAGAUGAUAUGGGAUACUUUUGCUUUUGAAGAAGUAACUUUCUACAGGCUUAUUCUUGAACUGGGCUGGAGGGUUUUCUGGUUUCCUCCAUAGUAUAAGGCCGACUAAAGAAUUUGAGGGUCAAAACAAGUCCAUCAAAUCUAGAGUACGUUCGACCUUGCUGAUAUGGGAUACUUUUACUUUUGACAGAGUAGUGGAUGUAUCGGCACGUGUGCUGUUACGCUUGUCUCCACAUGCUUCCUUGUAUCCUUCUCACUUGCCCUAUCUGUUCCUCAGGCAGAUGCGGUAUCUUCCCUGGAAGCAUAAGAUGUUGAAGAUGAGUACUCGAGAGCAAUGCCAGGUAAGUAAUCAGGUAAGGGGUUCCAGGCAGUCAGUUCCUGGCUGGAAGCUUGAUUCCAAGUGCUGACUGAUUGCUCUCUUUCUCCUUGUCUUGCAGGUAAGAACAAGGCCAAAGGAAAAGACAGGGAAAAAGCAUGAUAUGGGAUACUCUUGCUUUUAACCCUGAUGAUAUGAGAUAUUCUUGCUCUAGUAUAGCUUGUUUAUUGAGGUAUUAUCGGGGGGAAAGAAAGCUGAAUAUUUCGAAAGGCUUCGUUGGAAGUGCCCUCUCAGAUAAGAGGAAGGGUUGAGCAUUUUUGCAGGUCUGCCUAUCCGUUGGGGAUGGAGGUCGACAUAUAUAAGAGUCUCCCUAACAUCAAGUAAUAAUGUUAUUCCUUUACCCUGCUUGGUCAUAGCACGGUAGUGGGAGCUGCCAGCUUCACAUGUUUUAACUCUGUCAGAGCACUUUGAAAAAGUGGUCUGUGGUAUCUGGAAAGCUGAUGUUGCGUGUGAAGAUUACAGACAAGCUUUAUCCAAGGAGAUCCAGCUCUUGAAGUUGGGAAAGUGGUGCCUCUUUGGUUUUCGAACAAGCAAUCCUGUCGGGGAUCUGGCUCUCGAGAUUCGGAGAACGAUGCCUCUUCGAUUUUUGAGAAAGCAAUCCUGCUGGGGGUCUGGCUCUCGAGAUUCGGAGAGCGGAGUCUCUUCGAUUUUUGAGAAAGUAAUCACGUUGGGAGUCUGGCUCUCGAGAUUCGGAGAGCGGUGCCUCUUCGAUUUUGGAGCAAGCAAUCUUGUUGGGAGUGUUUUCUCGAAUGUGAGUAAAGGUUGGGCAUGUUUGCUAGUCUACCUUGCCACGAAGCACAGAGGUUGACACACAGGGACUUUCCAAUUAUCCAGCAGUGGUACUGUUCCUUUACCCUCUCUUCGAUUUUUGAGAAAGUAAUCAUGUUGGGAGUCUGGCUCUCGAGAUUCGGAGGGCGUGCCUCUUCGAUUUUGGAGCAAGCAAUCUUGUUGGGAGUGUUUUCUCGAAUGUGAGUAAAGGUUGGGCAUGUUUGCUAGUCUACCUUGCCACGAAGCACAGAGGUUGACACACAGGGACUUUCCAAUUAUCCAGCAGUGGUACUGUUCCUUUACCCUCUCUUCGAUUUUUGAGAAAGUAAUCAUAUUGGGAGUCUGGCUCUCGAGAUUCGGAGGGCGAUGCCUCUUCGAUUUUGGAGCAAGCAAUCUUGUUGGGAGUGUUUUCUCGAAUGUGAGUAAAGGUUGGGCAUGUUUGCUAGUCUACCUUACCACAAAGCACAGAGGUUGACACACCGGGACUUUCCAAUUAUCCAGCAGUGGUACUGUUCCUUUACCCUUGUGGGUAAUAAUAUGGUAGCUAGACCUUCAAAAUUUAUGUGUCUAAACUUUGUUAGUGUUGUUUCUUUCCUAUUCUUUUACCCUUCUUGGUCAGAGCGAUGUAGUAGGAGCUGCAAGCUUCACGUGUCUCAACUUUGUCAGAGAACUUUGGCAAAGUUAUCUGUGGUACCCAUGAGCUACUGUUGCGUGUGGGAAGUGGGUGAUUGAACAGUACGAUUCAUGUGCUUUCUACUUCGCCAGAAAUGUUCGACAGAAUGCCCAUAAUUUCCGCAAAGCUGAGUGUGCGUGUGACAGGUGCUGACAAGGCUGGAAGAGUAGGUGCCUCUUCAAUUUCUGAGAUCGGCCCUCGUGGUCUCUGAGCAGCCCAGCUUUUGAGAAAGCAAGCCUCUUCGAUUUCUGAGAUCGGCCUUCGUGGUCUUUGAGCAGCCCAGCUUUUGAGAAAGCAAACGCCUCUUCGAUUUCUGAGAUCGACCCUCGUGGUCUUUGAGCAGCCCAGCUUUUGAGAAAGCAAACGCCUCUUCGAUUUUUGAGCAGGCGCCUCUUCGAUUUCUGAAGCUUCGUCGAGUGCAGAUUUUUAUAGGGGCUGACAUUAAGCUCCAAAGCACACUUGAAUAUCCACCCGUAGAAGCUCCAUUCUUGCACUUCUAAGAUCUUGAUUUGUCCGACCUCUUCUCUCUUCAACACCUUUGAAAAUGUCUGGCCCCUCCGACCGUCGUUUUGACUUGAACCUUGUUGAAGAGGCAGCCCCGCCUUCUCCAGACAACAUAUGGCGCCCAUCCUUCGUCUCCCCUACUGGUCCUCUUACCGUUGGGGAUUCCGUGAUGAAGAAUGAUAUGACCGCUGCAGGUAGUGGCCAGGAACCUUCUCACUCCCAAAGAUAACAGACUACUUUCCAAACGGUCUGAUGAGUUGGCUGUUAAGGAUUCUCUGGCUCUCAGUGUUCAGUGUGCAGGUUCUGUGUGUCUAAUAUGGCCCAACGCCUAUUUGCUCGAACCCGCCAAGUUGAAUCAUUGGCGGCUGAAGUGAUGAGUCUCAAACAGGAGAUUAGAGGGCUCAAGCAUGAGAAUAAACAGUUGCACCAGGCUCGCACAUGACUAUGCUACAAACAUGAAGAGGAAGCUUGACCAGAUGAAGGAAUCUGAUGGUCAGGUUUUACUUGAUCAUCAGAGAUUUGUGGGUUUGUUCCAAAGGCAUUUAUUGCCUUCGUCUUCUGGGGUUGUACCGCGUAAUGAAGCUCCAAAUGAUCAACCUCUGAUGCCUCCUCCUUCUAGGGUUCUGUCCAGUACUGAGGCUCCGAAUGAUCCCCCUCCGGUGCCUUCUCUUUCUGGGGCUCUACCGACUGCUGAGACUUCUCCUAAGCAACCUUUGUGAAGGCUCCCUCUUGUUUGUUUAUUUUGACUCAAGUAUAUGUACAUAUUUGUAACUUAUCGGGGAUAUCAAUAAAUAAGCUUUCCUUCAUUUCAACGUAUUGUGUUAAAUACACCAAAGCCUUCUUCGCUAAGUUCUUUGAAUUUUCUUUUGUUGAAGCUUGUAUGUUGAAGCUUUCUGAGUGGAGCAUGUAGGUUGAGGUAGUGUUCCCUUAAUUUCCCGAGUGAGGAAAACUUCUCGGUUGGAGACUUGGAAAAUCCAAGUCACUGAGUGGGAUCGGCUAUAUGAAUCUUAGAACGCCAUUGUGUUCUGUCCUGUGUCAUGUCCUCCGUUAGAUCCAAGUACUCUAAGUCUUUUCUUAGGGUCUCUUCCAAAGUUUUCCUAGGUCUUCCUCUACCCCUUCGGCCCUGAACCUCUGUCCCAUAGUCGCAUCUUCUAAUCGGAGAGUCAGUAGGCCUUCUUUGCACAUGUCCAAACCACCGUAACCGAUUUUCUCUCAUCUUUCCUUCAAUUUCGGCUACUCCUACUUUACCCCGGAUAUCCUCAUUCCUAAUCUUAUCCUUUCUCGUGUGCCCACACAUCCAACGAAGCAUCCUCAUCUCCACUACACCCAUUUUGUGUACGUGUUGAUGCUUCACCGCCCAACAUUCUGUGCCAUACAGCAUCGCCAGCCUUAUUGCCGUCCUAUAAAAUUUUCCCUUGAGCUUCAGUGGCAUACGGCGGUCGCACAACACGCCGGAUGCACUCUUCCACUUCAUCCAUCCAGCUUGUAUUCUAUGGUUGAGAUCUCCAUCUAAUUCUCCGUUCUUUGGGAAUCACCCAACUUGCAUGAGCUGUAACGUAAAGGGAGAAUGAAGAGAAACGCGAUCUGCACUUUCUUCACCAGCCUCAGAAAGAAUGCAGCACUGAGGGCUAACUUUCUCUUUACCCAAUAAACAUAAAAGAAUUUGUAUCUUAGGAGACUUUUUCCUUCCAAAUCUGACCAAUAGGUUAAAGCAUGACAAUGCACAUUCAUUGCAUUAAAAAAAGCAUGUACAUGUUUCUAAAACUUUCUAAUUAGUAGUUGCCCUACCCCCUCCCUCAUUUUUUUGAGCGGUAUAAUCCAAUCUUAUGGUACACCACACCAAACAUUGCAUGGUAUUGAAAGUAUCAUAUCUAGUCUAUUCCAACUAUUGAGCAAAGCCAAUCUAACCAAAUCAUGCGCAAAAAAAUAGAACCAAACAAAUAAACCUAUCAUUGUCACAGUAUGAUCCACUAACCAGAGAUGAAGGAGCGAAAUGUGGAAUAGUCCACACAGUAUUCCAUAUCAUAGUAGAAGUCAGACGGCGAAAUGGAGUUCACUUUUAACCCUACCUGAAAAAGUCAAAAGAUUAGUACUUCACUAGUAUAAUAUACAGCACGUGUUUGGCAAAAUGGCAAGAUACAAGAAAUCAUUAACAGAAGUCAAUUUUUAAACAGUAGAAAUAAUACCUUAGGGGAUAUAUGUGUAACAUUGACUUUUGAAAUAAUGCAAUCUAUCAAAUUAUCGUUCAUUACGGUAGAAUAGAAUAAACGCCUCUUGUCAUGAGAAGUUCCUACUUCUUUAAUAACCUGAGAAACAAAUAGAAAAACCAAAGAAUGGUUAGUGGGAUAUACCUACCAUGGGUCCGUACUCAACAAUUUCACAAACUCACCGUAUCUUCAACUUUAUAAAACCACUGGACUCUAAAAUAUUUUUCUCCAUCAGCUGUCUUGAAAAAUUCUAUGAUCCUUCCCACAUGCUUUUGUCCUUCAUCACCCUGUAAAAAUUACCUUAACAUUUAUUUCAAAUGCUCGUCGGAAUGCAACUAAAACUACAUAAUACUAUGCAUGAGCUCUCCAGGAUAGGUCCAAACAAACUAUAAGUCUGCAACUAACACUACUCUGAAGAGUUAAGGUCGUAUUUGAUGUUUUCCAUACAUCAUACAUCCAACAAAUUUUCCAAAAUAAGACUAUGUAUCAAUAUUCAACACACCUAUAACUACAGAUUAAGAAGGCAUCUACGCAAGUAGAGCAUGUGGAAGCAAUCUGUAAUCGCUUAAAAAAAACCCAUGAUCAGUAGGGCAAAAAGAGAAAGUACCUCUAUGUAAGCACAAUCUCCAAGAUCGAAGAUGCAAUCGCCAAUUUUAGCUUGAGAAAAGUGACAUUCAACGUCCAAAAUUAUCUCAUCUUCUUCAUCUUCACUACAACCAUGUAUAAAUGAGAAAAUAAAAGGCAUAACCACAAUAGAUGAAAAAGGAUCAGCUUCUCGCUACUCGGGAGCACAAUGCCUAAGUUCUUAACUAGUGAGGGGGUCCAAUAACAUGUUCUGUGUAAAACUGUGAGCAAACAUGUUUUAUUUUCCUUAAAAGGAAUCAAAAUAUCUUUUAUAAGACACAUACUUCCUUUGUUACCAUUUUCUCUUGUGAACUGUCAACAUGUCAUUGCUCCUUUUUCAUCACUACUUACCCAGUACAAAAACAAGAACAACUAAUCACAUCCCAUAUGGUGUGGGAUAAUACAUAGCAAUGAAGUCAAAACCCCCUUACAGGGAGAGCAACGUACAUAAAAUGGGGUUCACCGAGACCAUGGCGUCCCGCCAAUAGUCAUUGACAUGUGGAGAGAAGACAAUGAGUUAUUGGACCAGGACACUACGUGGCGGUGAACCCAUUCCAUGUAAGUCAUUCUCCCUCCUGCACUAGGAAGUGACAUACCAUGCCUAUCCCUCUUUCCAACAAAAAAUAUUCCCUGCCUGCACAUUCUUUUCCAUCCAGGUCAUGAGUGAAUCUAUUUUCCAAUUCAAAAGAAGAGGCAUCUUUCACUCCACAUUCAUUUCCAUCCAGGCCGUGGGUGAAUCUAGUGCUUUGAGAACAUAUGUGAUAAGAUUAAGAAUAAAAAUUCUGUGCUCACAAGAGAAGUAGAUGUGUUGAUCCAAGAGAUGCAACAUGUAGUUAGCAAGACAAAAGAGAACAGUGGGAGUAAGUCUAUGACAAAAGACAUUUUCUACUUUUAAAAAAAACAAUGUUUGGUAACAAGGUUAUAUGAACAUAUGCCACUACAUGUUUCUACCACCUCACCAGUCAAGACAAUGUGCUCUGUCCAUGAAGCUCUGAAGAAAACUAUAACCAAACCCUCAAAGAGAUAAUUUAUGAACUAUUUAUUACUCACUUUAGCUUCAAGCUUUGUCUUUUAGAUCUUUGACUCUGCAAAACUCCAACACAGGCACAACCAGAACUAAAUUACACAGGCACAACCAGAACUAAAUCAUAUUAAACACAAUACUGUUGUGGUGUUUAACUAAAAACUCAAGAAACCCUACAACAGAGUUUAAUCUAUUCAAAUCACCAGAUGGCUUCACAAAUACAAGUUAAAUAGUCAAGAGCAAAAAAUUAUUCUACCAACAUAAAAUGAAAUAAAAUUGCAUGGAUAGACAUUAAUACACGUGCACUCAUUUAUAUACAUAUAAAGUGCACUUAUUUAUAUACAUGUUUUUCAUGGAUAUCAUGUAUUUAUGUACAUGCUUAUAAAAUCUGAAUAUAAGUGCAGAUGAGGCCUUCACUACAAGAAGUUGAGUGGCUAAAUAUGCAUCUUUUACUGCUUUAGUUUCCCACCGACAAUAAGAGAAAAACUUAUGGAGAACUUUUUAUGCUGUGUCAACUUUAAUCAUUUUAAAUUAGAGUUUUUUUUUUAGAAGGUGUUAGAAUAUGAAAACAAAUAGUUUACACCAUGUCAGGCUUUGAUCCAGCUGAGGCUAUUUGGGAAGCAACUGUUCGGAUUAUGGUGAAGAUUAGAGGGGGAAUAAUGUGAUCUGCUACAGAAAGAACUGAUGACUUCCUCCUAGCUAGUGCAUCGUGGGUAAGAUAAAAGGGGAAAGUGUAGAUCUCUUGUUGAGAGAGCAAAAAAUGGCACACCAGUCCAUCGUGAAUUUUUAUUCAAGUUUGUGGAGUUCUUGAACUUGAAUUAUAUCUAUUUUUUAUUAUUAAGCAUUAAUGAUGAUAUUCUUGUUGAAUUAUAUUUGUUUUAGUUCAUUUUUAAGCAUGAAUGACAUUUUUAUGGUAUGCCUCAUAAGUCUUAAAAGGCUUAUGCCACACAUAGAGGUUAAUUAUCAUGGUAUGCCUCAUAAAUCUUAAAAGGCUUACGCCACACAUAGCGGUACUUCCAACACUUCCCCUUAUGCCUCAACAAUUUCAAGCUUUGAUAUGUAUAAUGUGCUCUGAUUGCAUAGUGAAGUUCAAGUAAGAGUCUGAACUUAGAGAAGAAAAACGACAUGCAAAUGAAUAAAUCGUUAAGUUGAUUUAUUACCUUCAUUCGAUACCGCCAACCCCAUCUUUCUUGAGCUUCAACAUCAGGAAUUGGAUCUCCAAUGAAAGAAGCACUUUUGAUGUUCUCUUGUUUGUUUUGCUUGUUCUUUGAUGAAUCUAAGGUUUUCCUUUUCUUUGGUGUUUGUUUCACAUAGGUCUCGGGCAAUUCAAUCAAAGCACAUUCUGAUUCUCUUCUUUCAGCCUCAAACAUCGAUCUGGUUCUUCUUUGGGAUUGCCCCAAGUGUGUCUCGUCAAAAAUUUUUGAAUCAGAUUUUCCUAAUGAGAUCAAUAUCUUCUUGGAAGAAAACCCAUCUUCCGAAUCAGACAAUCCAAUGAAACUAGAAUUUAGAUUGGAAGUUUCCUUAGCCACGUCCAAACAAGGGGAAAACUUAGGAGAUCUUCUUAUGUGCUUUUCAUCCAACUUUUCACCAUCAAAAUUGUCUUCAGGAGCUGACAUUAACCUUGAAGACCUCCUCAAGGGUGUAGGUCUCUUAUCACUCUCUCCGUGCCAUGAAAGAGAUGGAUGCUUGACUUCUGUGUCUCUUGAUGAUGUUUCGACAUUAGAAGUAUUUAAUGACAGGGCCUUGGGGCAGCCUUCUUCAGGGGAUUCGAAUUUUCUUAGAGAUCUCUCUUGCGAAGAAACUUUCAGACAGCAGCUUUCCACUGCAGACUGAUUCAUCAACCUUAGAGAUCUCCUCAUAGACUUCUCUGCUAAGCUUUCUACACUUGAUACUGUAUAUUUCUGUUCAUCAUCACUGCAACAAGCAAACAUGCAGAAGUCAAGAAAAUUGACGUAUGAAUCAUAUGAUGAAUGUGAAUGCCCCACAGCUAAAAUGUUUGAAAAUUUAGGACUCACUUUGAUCCGAUGGUUCCACCCUUGUACCUUUUAUGCUGCAUAAGCCAAUAAUCCAUUCUUGAAAUUAGAAUGUGUAAACUGAUGUAAAUGGUUAACGAGACAUAAGACAACUGACAUAGCAAAUACAAUUAUGACAUAUUGGGAACCAUCACCAAAAAAUGAAACAAACAAACAAGAGCUUCAUGGGAAAUGUUAAACUAUCAUGAGGAAGACGAAGGUGUCAAGAUUUCAGAGAGAUGGCAAUCAGACCACAACAUUUUCAUAGGGACAGGGAGGCCUCAAAAUUGCCUACCAUGAAAUAUUAUUAGCUUGCUCAUAAAAUUAUUCUAUUUUUCUUUCUGAACUAAAAUUUUGAACAAUAAGUGUUUGGGCGUGUUCAAAAAGGUUUGCAAUGUAUUAAAUCAUAUGUCAAGAUUGUGUAAGAUGUGGAAAGGGAACAUCACGAAAAUGUUACAACUCUUGCCAAAUUUAUGGUUGCUAUACAUAGGAAGGAGACCUAACUUCAAACAAGGUUUAUGCUUAAUGAAUUUGACCGUUUUGAUUCUGGAGUAUAAUGCCGCAAUGUUGUAUUUGUGUUAGCAUUAACAGGCCAAGUACAGUUAAUCGUAUUUUUCCAGGCGGUUCAAGGAUCACACAGUAUUUAAAUGUGUAUGAGAAUCAUUUGACUUCUUAACUUUCCCGGCGUUUACUAACACAUGAAAUUGGAAAGGCGUGAGCUUCCCCUUGAAAUUCAUAAUCAAAUACCUAAAAAUCAGGAAUCAUAUCAACUAAGGGGGACUAGUUUAUCUGAUUCCCUUUCCCAAAUUCUCUGUUUCUUUAUGUGGCCUUUCUCCAAUGAGGCCCCUCAUGUUUCAUAAAAACGGAACUCAUGGCUGUCAAUCACUUUUAACAUUUUUUUUUUUUUGAACAAACAAUGUUAUCUACACUAAAAGAGAGGGGGUGGGCUUAGCCUCACAAUGAGCUAGCAAUAAUGUGGUUAAAAUUCACCUUUGGCCAAAAUUAAACCUAAAACCUCUUAGUUACAAGUGAACAGCAAUAUCACUAGACCGUAGUAAGUGGCUUAACAAAAAUUACUUUUUUUUACUAAUAGUGACAUUUAUUUUUAAAAAAAAAAACCCCCAUCUUUGUAUUUUUAUUUUUACUAUUAUUGGGGACAAGGAUGAGAGUUCGAAACUAUUAAAAUAAGUUAGGGAGGGUUUCGAAUUAAAGACAUAUGGGUAGAAACUCAACACUCUAUCCUCUAGGAUAUUUGACCACAUGAACACAAAAAACCUAUCUAUUUACCUCAUAAGUCAAAUAAAAAUUACUGACUGAAAUGCAAAACAAAGACUAGAUACAUAAAACAUCUGAACCAAAAAAAUAUUCUUUUAUUUGUAAUAUUUUUUAAUUUUUGUUCUGUAUUAAAUCAAAGUAUUAUUUUAGAUGUAAAUUAAUAAUUCUAAUAGGGAUUUUCUAACAAAUAAAGAUAAAAACUGUGGAAUACGUUCGUGAAGAAAUUACUUCUAAUUACUUUUAAAAGCUUAAAAGGGUACAAAUGUCACUUCAACUAAAGUGGGUCCGAAUGGUUGAAAGUCUCUGGCGCCAAUAAGCGUUCGGGUUUAAUAAAUGAAAGAUGAAACAAGCAUCUAAUCCCUUUUGGACAAAAGUCAAACUCACCAUCCGCACGAUUCUUAAGAUUCAAUGAUCCGACGGAUGAGAAGCAUCUGAUUAAUACACAAUUUCUCAAGAAAAAAGAAAAAGAAACAUAAAAGUAUUUAAUUUCAACGAGAAAAACUAUAAAAAUAUGCAAAUAAUAUGAAAUUUAAGGAUUAAAAAAAUUAAAAAAUACUUAAAAGAAUUAUUAAUUAAGAAUUAAAAGAAAAUUAAAGAUAGUAAACGGUGAGUAAUGACGCAAGCACCUGAACUGAUGGAGUCUUAAUCUUGCUGCUCUCAGCUUCUUCCAGGACGGAUGACGUAAAUCUGGGAGACCUUCUCACACUCGCACGCUUGGCGUCGUCGAUCUUCCUGGAAGCUGCAUUUGCCGAAGUAUCCUUGACGACCUCCUCCUUCUGCGCCGGCGGCAACGGCGACAGUCUCGGCGACCUUCUCACGCACUCGGGCCGCCGCUGCUGAAUCUUGCGCCGUAGUCGUGGGUCGUCGUGGUCGUGCGAGUUCAGUGGCACUGCUUCCUCCUCACAAGCCACAUUUUCCACGAGCACCGACAAUGCCAUCGGUUCCGAUUCGGAUUUCGAUUCCGAUUUGGAAUCGGAGUUGGGUUUUGGUGGCGCCCACAUUUUAUUUCUUUUUUUUGGGGGGGGGGGGGUGGGAUGGGGGAUUUUGGGCAAAUGGUGAAAUAAAUGGAAAUUAUUGAAACGCAAAGAAGGAAACGGUGGGAAGCAGUUUCGUUCUUCCGAUGACUCCAAAGAAGAGAGGCUGGGCAAAAAUAUAUGUCCUCUUUCUCGCAUGACACAUCUCACGAGGCAAUGGAGGCGCACGAAUAAAUAGUGGUAUACCCACUCAUAUUUUACAAAAUAAAUUAGAGUAACCUCAACUAUUGAUAUUAAGACACUUUCAUAUCUUAUCUUUUAAAAUUGACAAUGUCAUAUCUCAUCUUACGAAUUUGUAUCAAUGUUAGACAUCCGUCCGUUUUCUGUUAAUUUCUCUGUUAAAUGCUGACGUUGUCCGACACGUGUCCACUCACUAAUCAAAUUGGAUUAAAAAAUAAUUAAAUAUAUUUUUAAUAAUUAAAUAUUCAAAAAUUAAAAAAUAUAUAUAUAUAUAUUAAAUCUCUCUCUCCCCUUUCUCGCCUCUCUCUUCUCUGCAACCCAAAACCCCUUCCCACCCGUCCUUCACCACCCUCUCUCUCUCCUCUCUCUCCCCCCCCCUUUCUCGGCUCUCUCUCUUCUCUGCAUCCCAGAAGACCCAGACCUCGGAGGAACAAAACCCACCUUCCCAUUGCAGCAAUUGUUGCCGCAAUUCGAAAACCCCAAAACGAAGAACCCAAUAUUUCUCGACUACUCCGCCACCCUCAAUCUGGAGAUCGCAAUGACGUCAUUCCACGGCAUCAUCUUCCUCGACUACUUCGCCUCCCUCACUCUACCACCCUCGAUCUGCACCUGGACACCCAAAACGAUGGCGUCGACCUGAAGUCGGACUGGGAACCGGUCUGAUUUGUGACGAAGUCCGAGUCUGUGGGGUAGUGGGGGGGGACGCGGGUCAAUAGGCAAGAGUUUGGGGGGACGGGUCAAUAGGCAAGAGUUUGGCGGAUGAAAAAACCCAGGUGGGUUUAGGCGGUUCUAGGCACGAAGAGUGAGAGAAGUGGGGAGGAAGGAACUACGAUGGAGAGGAGAAGGAGAGGCAAAAGAGAGGGUGGUGGAGGACGGGUGAGAAGGGGUCGGGUGGGAAGGGGUUUUGGGUCUUUUGAGAUGCAAAGAAGAGAGAGAGGCAAGAAAGGGGGGGGGAGAAAGAGGAGAUAGAAAGAGAAAGAGAGAGAGAGAGAGAUUUAAUAUAUAUAUAUAUAUAUAUAUAUUUUUAUUAUUAUUUAAUUAUUUUUUUAAUCCAGUUGAAUUAGUGAGUGGGACACGUGUCGGCCCACGUCAGCAUUUAAUAGAGAAAUUAACAGAAAAACUGACGGAUGUCUGACAUUGGCACAAAUUCGUAAGAUGAGGUAUGACAUUGUCAAUUUUAAAAGAUGAGGUAUGAAAAUGUCGUGACACCAAUAGUUGAGAUAGUUUUUUGUACUUUACCCAACAAAUUAUUUGUAUUUUGAGGAUUUUGCACGAACUCGAUUGAAAUCUAUCACUUAAGUUAUUUUUUAUUUAUUUUUUCAUAAAAACAUGCAUGUGACUCACGUGGAGAGUUAUUUUUGUCAAUUCACUGCCUAGGGCUCUUUAGAAUCAAUUUAUGUGAAAGCAAAAGGAAUUUUUAAUAGCGUUAGAGUAAGGUCAUGAAGAGCAAGGGAAAAGUUGAUUUUUAAUUAGAUUUUGGCAAGGGUUGUUGAAGAAUUGAAGUGAAAAUUAUGCUAAAAUCUAGUCCUUCAUUUACAAUAAAUUUCAAUUUUUUUUUUUUUGUAAGUCAGCAAGUGGGUAUGUGAUUAAGGUAUUAUUCAAAUAUUAAGUUUUCAUACUCUGAUGUAGGGAAUUGCCGGAUUGGGGCUGUACAAACCCCAAAUUUGGAGCUAUAUUGACUGAGGCAGUAUUACUUUGCAGUCAAUUUGAUUCUAGUCAGCCCCAUUAAGUGAAUUGAUGAAAAUAUCCCUACAUGUGACAUGUUUUAAUGGCAAAAUGGAUGAAAAGUAACGUAAGUGAUAGAUUCUAACUUAAGACGGUCUAGUUGGAAAAAUUAAAAAUUUAGUGGCAAUAUUGCAUAUGCUUACAAGGUCAGGUGGUACUUGUGCAAAAAAUCUUUGUAUUUUUAAUAUUUAAUAUUAAUUAGACCCGUAAACGGUAUGGCUGCUACCAUACCUGACCCGUUUAACUAUCGUAGACAAUGUGCCAAUUUCACCACACCCCUUAGAUCUUCAGAUGGGUAGAUGAACAUAGAAAGAGAGAGACCAAUAAUUACCUCAAUCAUCCUUGGUCAUGGCUACAAGCAACCCCUCAUCGCCACAGCCGCCACCGCCAUCGGUUCCAUCUUCUGCCUUCCAGCCAGUUUUUUCAGAAACAUAUGGUUCUUCCUACAAUACAUUGCCGCCAUAGUUUGUGCCAUCGUCAUUGCCACUGCCUGCCACGCCCACCACCUCGGCCUAAUGAUCUGCGGCUUCACUGGCAAUCCAAAAAUCCAACAUUCCGAGCCUGAAGAGGAGUCUCUCUUGGCUCUCGCUCUACUACGCUGCCGCGGCCAACUCAUUAUGCUCCGCCGUCUUCUCAUCCUUUAAAGCUGCCGGCCAUGUGAGGCACGAGAACAAGCGAGGAGGCUUGCCUGUUAGUGGCCUUGAUACUGCCUGUGAGACACAAGAACCGGCAGCUGUACACUUAAUUGGCGGCACCAGACGCAGUUACGAGAAAAAUAAUGAACUACAUCGGUAUAUAUUGUUUUCUACACCAUUUUCAAAUGCCGCUAUUUGGGAAAAGCGUCGAGAACAAGGUGCUGCACAUGGUCAUAAACACAAAUGCUGCAAUUUUCUAGUACCAAGUAUUGCAAGAGAUCACAAAUGAAAGGAAAAUUAUUCUCCAAAUGCUUCAAGACGGAUAAUCUAUAUCAAUACUUGAAGCUUGAGUCGCAUCGAAAAAGUUGUUAUUUCUCUCUGAUACAUUCCAGUAUUGCAAAAACGCUCGUAAAAAACUUCUCACCAAGCAGUUGUCCACGGAAUACAAGUUUAAAAAGACAACUAUAGCUGAUUGUUCUCAUCAGCUAAUCAGGUAUAGCCUCGAAUUGAACUUGUCAAUGGUUAAAACCUUCUAGCUGCUAAAUCACUGCUUGUUCAAAGGAAUCAGAAACGGAAACUAAAGAAAGAAACCGGUAGCACCUACCAGAGGACUCAAACUUUUAACCGCAAAAAUUGAGCUUCUUCAUCACUGUAGCAUAAGCAGGAUGGACAAGGGCAGGUACUCUUAGUCUACGCUUAGAUAUCUUCGACUGCAUAGGAUACAAAAUUUCAUUAAUUUCAGGAACAAAUUGGUACGUCUAGAGCUCUGGUCUACUAAAUACCAUUCGUAAAUCAUGAAUGUACCUCGGACCAAAAAUAAAAUAAAAAAAUUGUGAAUGCACCAUUAUAAAAAAUGUCGUACUCAGUGCACAAGGCUCCCGCUUUACGCAGGGUCUAGGAGAGGUGAAUGUCGGCUAGCCUUACCCCCAUUUAUGGAGAGGCUGCUCCCAAGUCUCGAACCCGAGACAUACCGCUCAUGGACGAAGGCACUUGCCAUCGCACUAAGUGCGACCUCUAUAAUGAGAGAAGAAAGGCAUUUGCAAUAAAAGGAACGAAAGUCUGAUCGAGCAUGUCAAGACACCAAUAAGAGAUUUAGCUGCACUAAUAGGGCAAUGGACAAGAAUACAUACUCGUUCAUGUUGCUUCCCAGACAGAGGAGCUAAUCAACAUAUUGAUGACCAAAAUAAACAUAAUCCACAAAUGAGGUAGGGGAAAAAGAAAAGAACUGUGACCCUAAUGACGACAAUGCCAAUUCAUCCGGAAUUGUUUCACCAGAAACAAACAUAUACCAAGCAGCAUGCAUCAUGAAAUUAAAGAAAUAACUAGUCCAAAUUAUAAUCAACAAUCGACGCACCAAUAUAACUCCUUUUUGUAUAAUGUCUCAAAUUAAUGGGGAUCAAUCAUGUGCUUACAAGACUUUAUUUUACUCGAAUCUUUAAAAAUCUUGUACCCUUUAGUGCUCCCAAAAUCCGUUAUUUAGGAACAUUGCAGGCCACGAGAUACCAGCUAAUGUAACAACUUUUCAUCAAUUUCAUUUAGAAAUCACAACUCAGGAUAAGAGUGUCCUUUUGCUAACAAAGCUGUGCAAAUAGCGUUGCUGUACAUUCUUAAAUAGAGAGGCGCUUUCACAUCUUCUUAACUGGAAACGGCUGGGGAGAGGAAAGAUUUCAUUUUUAAGGGCUUGUAUAGGCCAUAUGCGGGAUACUUAUAGAUAGACAUAAACCAAGGGUGCUGGUCAGCAAAUGAAAACUGGUUGUAAGGGAAUUUUCAGUAGGUAAUUGAACUUCAAACUUGCUGAGUACCACUCUAAGUAACAAAAAUAGUGAAAAAUAAAUAAAAAUCGCUUGUUCCGCAUGUGACAUCAUGACUUGUAGGUUUCAAUGGAGCAAUAUUGUAACUAGAGCAGUCGUUCAAACAACUCUCUUUUUAUUAUAUGUAGAAAACUUUACAGGAACCUGAAAUGUGAAUAAGCAAUAUGACAACACUUAUCUAAUGCUUUGGGAGACACCUAACACAAAAAAAAACACACGUGCUAACAUAUAGUGAAUGUAUCUAUAUGAAUAUAUGAAAUGAGAAACCAAGAUGAUUGACCACCUAUAUUGCAAGUUGAAGCCAUCAGGAGUUUUGUAUUGCAAAUCAUUCUCAAGGCGAUUAUUGGAUGAUUCUUGUCCUUGUCCUUUUGGUCCCUCUCAAGCAAUUCGGGAGGCUAAAGUACAACCUAAAGUAAAUGUAUUAGCUUGCGUUAUUGCAUCUCCAACUUACAGGUAUUAACCUAGUGUAGAAUUAACGCAGAAUUUUGAACCAUUUUAAUGUUUCAUUGUCCAGUUGCAUAUUUCUCGUGGAUAAUGUUCACUAGAAAAAGCGAGUUUGUCAGAUUCCAGCCACUUAUGCAAUGGCGUAGCCACCCACAAGGCUAAGGUGGGCUGUAGCCCAGGGAGGUUUUCUGUAAGAGUAGUGUUAUCCAUGCACUCAUUUUUAUUGCUCACACACUCCUCUCAAUUUUCUAUUGUUCGGAUCGAAUGAAUUGAAAAUGAUCACAUAUACAAAAUUAAUAAGGUUGUGUUGGAGGUAAAAAUGAGUUUGUGAAUAGAAUUAUUCUUUUGUAAACUCAUGCUUAUAGCCUACUCAAUUUCAAUACGUAUUAUUAUUUAAUGUAUAUUUAGUAGAGGAUAUGUAGUAAAUAAUACGUUUUAUGCUAAAAAUUAUAAAUUAGUUAUAUCUCCAGUCCCCCUUUAUCUUAUUCUUUAAACAAAAAGACCAAUUACCCUAUGUAAUUUAGUCUUUGUGCUUCUUACUCAAGAAAAGAAUUUUUUUUUUAAAUCCACAAUUAAAUCUCUAUCUCCGCAAUUCCUUACUUUGUGUUGCGAUUUUCCAAUGAAUGUCACCUUUGGUAUGUUCUUAAUCACUUUAUUUACUUAUUCUUGAUUUAAUUAGUAGGUUAAUUUUAUAUGGUCCUUGAAUGUAUCAGUUAGGGUUAUGAUUUUAAGAAUAGUUUAUAUUAUAUUGUUGUUCUUUUAUAUUGAUUAUUAUAUAAUUUUAUAUGAGCAAAAAAAUAAACAUAUGAUUUUAUGGUACUAUUUUCAGCUAGCCCACCCAAGAAAAAAAUCCUAGCUUCGCCCUUGCACUUAUGUGAAAAGUUAAAAGUUUUUUGGAGGGAGGAAAGGGUUUGGUGCUAGGGGCAUGCCUCCUCGAAAAAUGAAUGUCACAAAUUAGAGCUACUGGCCAGCAAACAAAUAGAUGAUCACAUUCUCUUCUUUCAUCUUUACACAUAAUAGACCAAUAAGGGGAGAGACGGCAAUUGGUUCUUCUUUGUUUAUUUUCUGAUUGCAGAUGCUCACCAGUCUGCCCUACAUCACUAUGUGGUCUCAACAAAAGCAAAACGUUUAUAAGGAGGAAAUCGCCACUAUUGUCACGUGUGCGCCAUACUACCCUGUCAGCAAUGGAGAUGGAAAAGUAAAGAAAGAUUGAGGUAACUUCACACGCACUUAAACUUUGAGGGGCAAAGUGAGACACAAGUGAUAUUUUGAGAGGCAUUGCGAUAAAUAACCCUAUUUUGUAUUUUUGACAUUCUAUCAGCAUAACUCCGCCUAUGUCUUACAUGGCCGGUCCCAAGCCCGGAUAAAGGAGGAGGGGGAGGGCGUCAGGUAGUCGACAGUCGGCACUCCAUGAUCACGUCGAAUCCUUAUGAAAAUGAAUCCAGAACAAAAUCGCGCUAAAGCUAGGGCGUCACCCGUAAGUGGCGAGCUGUGUGGCCCGAGCACAGUGAUAAGUGAGCAAGGGUCGCUGUAUCUCCAUCGGCACCCAGAUGCAGUGUUAAAUGAGCAAGGGGGCCAUAGAAACUUCUUUUCGAACGAUUCCACUCAAAGUUGUUUGGGAGCAUAUGCUCCUAUCAACUUUACCCGGGACACACAAAAGAAGUACUUUGAUCCUAUUAGACGGGGGAGGGUGAAGAAGCUAGGACAGAAGGGUAGAGUUCAAGAGAGCAAAAUGCGUUUAGGAACGUGGAAUAUAGGAACCUUAACGGGAAAAUUCAUGGAAGUAGUGGAAGUUAUGGUGAGGAGAAGGAUAAAUAUUAUGUGCCUACAAGAAACUAAGUGGGUUGGUAGUAAGGCAAAGGAUCUAGAAAACUCAGGGUUUAAACUUUGGUAUUCGGGCACAAAUAGAACGAGAAACGGUGUUGGCAUCAUCGUGGACAAAACCUUGGUACAAGAUGUUGUAGAUGUCAAGAGGGUAGGAGAUAGAAUCAUGGCAAUCAAGAUUGUAAUAGGACAAGAACUUAUCAAUGUGAUUAGUGCGUACGCACCUCAAGUAGGGUUGGAUACGAGUUCGAAGGAGAAAUUUUGGGAAGAUCUUGGAGACUUGGUGCAAGGAAUUGCUCAGACGGAGAAGUUAUUUAUAGGAGGAGAUUUAAAUGGACACGUGGGCAGGGAGACAGGCAACUAUGGAGGUUUUCAUGGUGGCCAUGGUUUUGGGGAGAGAAACGAGGAUGGGGAAGCUAUCUUGGAUUUUGCAAUGGCAUAUGAUCUCUUCUUAGCCAACACCUUCUUUAAGAAGAGAGAAGAACAUGUGAUCACCUACAAGAAUGGGUCGUCAAAAACACAAAUAGAUUUUCUUCUAAUGAGGAAAGGGGAUCGUAUAACUUGUAAGAAUUGCAAAGUUAUACCAGGAGAGAGUGGCUAAUCAACAUCGCUUGUUGGUGAUGGAUGUACAUAUCAAAAGAGUAAGACAAAAGAACAAGACUUGGAAGUGCCCAAUGACUAGAUGGUGGAAUCUAAAAGAAGAAAAACAAGCCAUUUUCAAAGAGAAGGUAAUCACCCAAUGUGUGUGGGAUAGAGAGGGGGAAGCUAGUCUUUUCAAUGAAGGACAUGAAAUGAGUGCUUCUUUAGGGGAGUUGAGUAACUCAGAAGAGUGUAGAAACUACUCUUUUUAUCGUCGAAUCCGGAAGGAAGAAGUGGUUGUAGCUUUGAAGAAGAUGAAGCAUAAAAAAGCAAUAGGCCCAAACGAUAUACCAAUCGAAGUGUGGAAACUUUUGGGAGAGACAGGUAUAACAUGGCUCACUGACCUUUUCAAUAGGAUUUUGAAAACGAAGAAGAUGCCAAAUGAGUGGCGAACGAGCACUUUGGUGCCUAUCUACAAGAAUAAGGGCGACGUACAAAAUUGCAUGAACUAUAGGGGUAUUAAGCUAAUGAGUCAUACAAUGAAGCUCUGGGAGAGAGUCAUUGAGCAUAGAUUGAGGCAAGAGACACGGGUUUCGGACAACCAAUUCGGGUUCAUGCCAGGGCGCUCAACCAUGGAGGCAAUCUAUCUCUUACGAAGAUUGAUGGAAAGAUAUAGAGAUGGGAAAGAGGAUUUACACAUGGUCUUUAUAGAUUUGGAAAAAGCGUAUGAUAGGGUCCCAAGAGACAUUCUUUGGAGGAUUUUAGAGAAGAAAGGAGUACGAGUAGCAUAUAUCCAAGCUAUAAAGGAUAUGUAUGAAGGAGCAAAGACUGCCGUAAGAACUCAUGAAGGACAAACCGAAAGCUUUCCCAUAACUGUAGGAUUACAUCAAGGCUCAUCCUUAAGUCCUUACCUUUUUGCGUUGGUAAUGGAUGAGUUAACAGGACAUAUUCAAGAUGAUAUUCCUUGGUGUAUGCUUUUCGCAGAAGAUAUAGUGUUGAUAGAUGAAACUCAGGAAGGGGUAAAUGCAAAGCUUAACCUUUGGAGAGAAGUGUUGGAAUCUAAAGGUCUUCGCCUAAGCCGAUCAAAGACAGAAUAUAUGGAGUGCAAGUUCAAUGCAAAUGGAGGCCAAAACGAGUUAGGGGUGAGGAUCGGAGAUCAAGAAAUACCAAAGAGCGACCGUUUUCGUUACCUAUGAUCUAUCUUGCAAAAGAACGGAGAAUUAGAUGGAGAUCUCAACCAUAGAAUACAAGCUGGAUGGAUGAAGUGGAAGAGUGCAUCCGGCGUGUUAUGUGACCGCCGUAUGCCACUGAAGCUCAAGGGAAACUUUUAUAGGACAGCAAUAAGGCCGGCAAUGCUGUAUGGCACAGAAUGUUGGGCGGUGAAACAUCAACACGUACACAAAAUGGGUGUAGCGGAGAUGAGGAUGCUUCGUUGGAUGUGUGGGCACACGAGAAAGGAUAAGAUUAGGAAUGAGGAUAUCCGGGGUAAAGUAGGAGUAGCCGAAAUUGAAGGAAAGAUGAGAGAAAAUCGGUUACGGUGGUUUGGACAUGUGCAAAGAAGGCCUACUGACGCUCCGAUUAGAAGAUGCGACUAUGGGACAGAGGUUCAGGGCCGAAGGGGUAGAGGAAGACCUAGGAAAACUUUGGAAGAGACUCUAAGAAAAGACUUAGAGUACUUAGAUAUAACGAAGGACAUGACACAGGAUCGAGCACAAUGGCGUUCUAAGAUUCAUAUAGCCGAUCCCACUCAGUGACUUGGAUUUUCCAAGUCUCCAACCGAGAAGUUUUCCUCACUCGGAAAAUUAAGGGAACACUACCCCAACCUACAUGCUCCACUCAGAAAGCUUCAACAUACAAGCUUCAACAAAAGAAAAUUCAAAGAACUUAGCGAAGAAGGCUUUGGUGUAUUUAACACAAUACGUUGAAAUGAAGGAAAGCUUAUUUAUUGAUAUCCCCGAUAAGCUACAAAUAUGUACAUAUACAUGAGUCAAAAUAAACACACAAGAGGGAGCCUUCACAAAGGUUGCUUAGGAGAAGUCUUAGCAGUUGGUAGAGCCCCAGAAAGAGAAGGCACCGGAGGGGGAUCAUUUGGAGCCUCAGUACUGGACAGAACCCUAGAAGGAGGAGGCAUCAGAGGUUGAUCAUUUGGAGCUUCAUUACGCGGUACAGCCCCAGAAGACGAAGGCAAUAAAUGCCUUUGGAACAAACCCACAAAUCUCUGAUGAUCAAGUAAAACCUGACCAUCAGUUUCCUUCAUCUGGUCAAGCUUCCUCUUCAUGUUUGUAGCAUAGUCAUGUGCGAGCCGGUGCAACUGUUUAUUCUCAUGCUUGAGCCCUCUAAUCUCCUGUUUGAGACUCAACACUUCAGCCGCCAAUGAUUCAACUUGGCGGGUUCGAGCAAAUAGGCGUUGGGCCAUAUUAGACACAGAACCUGCACACUGAACACUGAGAGCCAGCGAAUCCUUAACAGCUAACUCAUCAGACCGUUUGGAAAGUAGUCUGUUAUCUUUGGGAGUGAGAAGGUUCCUGGCCACCACCGCAGCGGUCAUAUCAUUCUUCAUCACGGAAUCCCCAACGGUAAGAGGACCAGUAGGGAAGACGAAGGAUGGGCGCCAUAUGUUGUCUGGAGAAGGCGGGACUGCCUCUUCAACAAGGUUCAAGUCAAAACGACGGUCGGAGGGGCCAGACAUUUUCAAAGGUGUUGAAGAGAGAAGAGGUCGGACAAAUCAAGAUCUUAGAAGUGCAAGAAUGAAGCUUCUACUGGUGGAGAUUCAAGUGUGCUUUGGAACUUAAUGACAGCCCCUAUAAAAAUCUGCACUCGACGGAGCUUCAGAAAUCGAAGAGGCGUCUGCUCAGAAAUCGAAGAGGCGUUUGCUUUCUCAAAAGCUGGGCUGCUUAGAGAUCACGAGGGUUGAUCUCAGAAAUCGAAGAGGUGUUUGCUUUCUCAAAAGUUAGGCUGCUCAAAGACCACGAAGGUCGAUCUCAGAAAUCGAAGAGGCGCUCGCUUUCUCAAAAGCUGGGCUCCCCAGAGACCACGAGGGCCGAUCUCAGAAAUCGAAGAGGCACCUACUUUUCCAGCCUUGUCAGCACCUGUCACACGCAUACUCAGCUUUGCGGAAAUUAUGGGCAUUCUGUCGAAGACUUCUGGGGAAGUAGAAAACACAUGAAUCUUACUGUUCAAUCACCCACUUCCCACACGCAACAAUAGCUCAUGGGUACCACAGAUAACUUUGCCAAAGUUCUCUGCCAAAGUUGAGCACGUGAAGCUUGCAGCUCCCACUACAUCGCUCUGACCAAGAAGGGUAAAAUAAUAGCAAAGAAACAGCACUAACAAAGUUUAGACCCAUAAAUUUUGAAGGUCUAGCUACCAUAUUAUUACCCACAAAGGUAAAGGAACAGUACCACUGCUGGAUAAUUGGAAAGUCCCUGUGUGUCAACCUCUGUGCUUCGUGGCAAGGUAGACUAGCAAACAUGCCCAACCUUUACUCACAUUCGAGAAAACACUCUCAAUAAGAUUGCUUGCUCCAAAAUCGAAGAGGCACCGUCCUCCGAAUCUCGAGAGCCAGACUCCCAACAUGACUACUUUCUUAAAAAUCGAAGAGAGGGUAAAGAAACAGUACCAUUGCUGGAUAAUUGGAAAGUCCUUGUGUGUCAACCUCUGUGCUUCGUGGCAAGGUAGACUAGCAAACAUGUCCAACCUUUACUCACAUUCGAGAAAACACUCCCAACAAGAUUGCUUGCUCCAAAAUCGAAGAGGCACCGUCCUCCGAAUCUUGAGAGCCAGACUCCCAAAAUGAUUACUUUCUCAAAAAUCGAAGAGACACUGCUCCCCGAAUCUUCGAGAGCCAGACCCCCAGCAUGAUUGCUUUCUCAAAAAUCGAUGAGGCAUCGUUCUCCGAAUCAAUCGAAGAGGCGCUCGCUUUCUCAAAAGCUGGGCUGCUCAGAGACCACGAGGGCCGAUCUCAGAAAUCGAAGAGGCACCUACUUUUCUAGCCUUGUCAGCACCUGUCACAAGCACACUCAGCUUUGCAGAAAUUAUGGGCAUUCUGUCGAAGACUUCUGGUGAAGUAGAAAGCACAUGAAUCUUACUGUUCAAUCACCCACUUCCCACAAGCAACAAUAGCUCAUGGGUACCACAGAUAACUUUGCCAAAGUUUUUUGCCAAAGUUGAGCACGUGAAGCUUGCAGCUCCCACUACAUCGCUCUGACCAAGAAAGGUAAAAGAAUAGCAAAGAAACAGCACUAACAAAGUUUAGACACAUAAAUUUUGAAGGUCUAGCUACCAUAUUAUUACCCACAAGGGUAAAGGAACAGUACCACUGCUGGAUAAUUGGAAAGUCCCUGUGUGUCAACCUCUGUGCUUCGUGGCAAGGUAGACUAGCAAACAUGCCCAACCUUUACUCACAUUCGAGAAAACACUCCCAACAAGAUUGCUUGCUCCAAAAUCGAAGAGGCACCGUCCUCCGAAUCUCGAGAGCCAGACUCCCAACAUGACUACUUUUCUCAAAAUCGAAGAGAGGGUAAAGGAACAGUACCAUUGCUGGAUAAUUGGAAAGUCCCUGUGUGUCAACCUUUGUGCUUCGUGGCAAGGUAGACUAGCAAACAUGCCCAACCUUUACUCACAUUCGAGACAACACUCCCAACAAGAUUGCUUGCUCCAAAAUCGAAGAGGCACCGCCCUCCGAAUCUCGAGAGCCAGACUCCCAACAAGAAUACUUCCUCAAAAAAUCGAAGAGACACUGCUCUCCGAAUCUCGAGAGCCAGACCCCCAGCAUGAUUGCUUUCUCAAAAAUCGAAGAGGCAUCGUUCUCCGAAUCUCGAGAGCCAGAUACCACAGACCACUUUUUCAAAGUGCUCUGACAGAGUUAAAACAUGUGAAACUGGCAGCUCCCACUACCGUGCUAUGACCAAGCAGGGUAAAGGAAUAGCAUUACUACUUGUUGUUAGGGAGACUCCUAUAUAUGUCGACCUCCAUCCCCAACGGACAGGCAGACCUGCAAAAAUGUUCAACCCUUCAUCAUAUCUGAGAGGGCACUCCCAACGAAGCCUUUCGAAAUAUUCAGCUUUCUUUCCCCCCGAUAAUACCUCUGCAAACAAGCUAUACUAGAGCAAGAAUAUCUCAUAUCAUCAGGGUUAAAAGCAAGAGUAUCCCAUAUCAUGCUUUUUCCCUGUCUUUUCCUUUGGCCUUGUUUUUACCUACAAGACAAGGAGAAAGAGAGCAAUCAGUCAGCACUUGGAAUCAAACUUCCAGCCAGGAACUGACUGCCUAGAACCCCUUACCUGAUUACUUACCUGUCAUUGCUCUCGAGUACUCAUCUUCAACAUCUUAUGUUUCUAGGGAAGAUUCCGCAUCUGCUUGAGGAACAGAUAGGGCAAGUGCGAAGGAUACAAGGAAGCAUGUGGAGACAAGCGUAACAGCACACGUGCCGAUACAUCCAUUACUCUGUCAAAAGUAAAAGUAUCCCAUAUCAGCAGGGUGGAACGUACUCUAGAUUUGAUGGACUUGUUUUGACCCUCAAAUUCUUCAGUCGGCCUUAUACUCUGGAGGAAACCAGAAAACCCUCCAGCUCAGUUCAAGAAUAAGCCUGUGGAAAGUUACUUCUUCAAAAGCAAAAGUAUCUCAUAUCAUCUCUUCUCAUUUUUCUUCUCUUUAUCCUUCAUGCUGCUGCAAGAUGGGGAGAAGGUGAACAAUCAGUCGGAGCUCUGAUUGCUUACCUUGUCUGUCACCUCUUUCAGCAGACCCCUUAGCUCGGCGACUUGGGGGACUCCUACUACAUGGUUUGUAUCGCGCUUGACCAAGCCUGAAACUACAAGUAAGCUUCAAGUGAAAUUGAUACAUUACCUUGUGCAUCUCCACCAGUUAAAGAUACCACCCCUGGAUGGAGGAAGAGUACUUCCAGAGAAGAUGCCACAUCUACCUAUGAGACAGAUAAGGCAAUUCAAGACGACACCACACUCCGAUACUUAGAAGUUUCGUGAUUACGAGAUCAUUCUCCCACAAUAUUUCCUAAUGUCAUUUGUACUAAAUCAUUCACUUGUACUCACUAAAGGAGAGCUUGAACCUAUGUACUUGUGUAAACCCUUCACAAUUAAUGAGAACUCUUAUAUUCCGUGGACGUAGCCAAUCUGGGUGAACCACGUACAUCUUGUGUUUGUUUUCCUAUCUCUAUCCAUUUAUAUACUUAUCCACACUAAUGACCGGAGCAAUCUAGCGAAGAUCACAAAAAGCGACCGUUUUCGCUACCUAUGAUCUAUCUUGCAAGAGAACGGAGAAUUAGAUGGAGAUCUCAACCAUAGAAUACGAGCUGGAUGGAUGAAGUGUAAGAGUGCAUCCGGCGUGUUGUGUGACCGUCGUAGGCCACUGAAGCUCAAGGGAAAAUUUUAUAGGACGGUAAUAAGGCCAGCGAUGUUGUAUGGCACAGAAUGUUGGGCGGUGAAGCAUCAACACGUACACAAAAUGGGUGUAGCGGAGAUGAGGAUACUUCGUGGGAUGUGUGGGCACACGAGAAAGGAUAAGAUUGGGAAUGAGGAUAUCCGAGGUAAAGUAGGAGUAGCCGAAAUUGUAGGAAAGAUGAGAGAAAAUCGGCUCCGGUGAUUUGGACAUGUGCAAAGAAGGCCGACUGACGCUCCGGUUCGAAGAUGUGACUACGGGACAGAGGUUCAGGGCCGAAGGGGUAGAGGAAGACCUAGGAAAACUUUGGAAGAGACUCUAAGAAAAGACUUAGAGUACUUGGAUCUAACGGAGGACAUGACACAAAACCGAGCGCAAUGGCGUUCUAGGAUUCAUAUAGCCGACCCUACUUAGUGGGAAAAGGCUUUGUUGUUGUUGUUGUUGUUGUUGACAUUCUAUCAGCAUAAUAUGCAAGUUUAAUACCUAAAACUUUAAAAAGGAGCUUAUAAUUGUAAAUGUCUAUAAUUGUAAUUGUAGAUAAAAUUAACAAUUAGAGAUAUUUGACAAGAUAUCUAGCAUAUUAAAAGAAGACAACCUAAAGUGGACAGGCAGUAGACAGGUAAAACCUUUUUUUGAGAAGAAACAAUUUUAUUAAAAGAAUAAAGAACAGCACAGAAGUGGAUAAGAGUCCACUAACUGACAACAAGGAAAAAACCAUUAGGAUUUGGCUACAGCAGCCAUUUCUAGACCUCGUUCACUUAACUGCAGCUAACACAUCCCAUAGUAUUUGAGAUAGAGAAACAUUCUUAAACUCUUUAGUUACCGAAGCCCAAAAAGCUGCCCAAUAUUUUACUCUCCCCCAAAGUUCUUCUGCCCCCACUCCAGUAUAGUCUUCAAAAAUCCUCUUGUUACGUUCCAGCCAUAUAUUCCAGAAAAUUGCCGAUACCAAGCAACCCCACAAAACUUUGGAUUUUUUCCUUUUUCCAAGUGCCUUAAAAUUUGUGCUUAGUAGCUCGAAACACCCUUUAGGAAUGACCCAACUUGCUUUAACCUCCUGAAACAAUUUCCACCACAGUUGGAUCGAGUAGGAGCAAUGAAGAAAUAUGUGAUUUACACUCUCCUCCUUGGCUUUGCACAGGCUACACCAAUGUGGUGAUAAGCACAUAAGAGGGUUUCUCCUUUGAAUUCUGUCACAUGUGUUUAGAUUCCCAUUGGCCACAAGCCAUACAAGUAUUUUAACCUUCGGAGGAACCUUUGAUUUCCAAAUCUGUGGGUAGGGUGGAAAAUAGUGCACACUCCCAUCGUUGCUCCGUAAUGAACGAUAGGAUUUGCAUGAGAACAAACCUGAAGCUUCCAGGUUCCACCUUCUGAUAUCCCUCUUUAAUGGAGACAAUCGAACCUCUUCCAAUUUCUGUAAUAAUGUGGCCACCUCUACUAUCUCCAUCUCAUUCAAGUUUCUCCUAAAAUCAAAGUUCCAACACAAAGGAUUUGCUGAAACUUCCACGAAGCUCGAGAUGUUUUGAUUAUGCUUCCUCGAUAGAAGGAAUAGUCUGGGGAAUUGCUCCUUCAACGGUCCCCCUGUUACCCAUCCAUCCUCCCAAAACCUCACCCUCUCACCGUUGCCCACCUCAAACGUGCAGCAUCUAAGAAACUGUUGAGAACCACUCGAAAUGUCUUUCCAUGGGCUUCGACUUGAAACCCUCCCAUGAGGAAGUGCUUCCCAUCCAUUAGCUUGUAGCCCAUACUUACUUUUUAUCACCUUGUGCCACAGAGACUGUGACUCCCUUGGGAAUCUCCACAACCACUUAGCCAAUAAUGCUUCGUUCUGAUUCCUCAAGUUCCCCACCCCUAGACCUCCUUCCUCUUUGUUUUUAGUGACUAACUCCCACUUGGCCAAGUGUGUUUUCUUACCUUCCUCCAUGCCUUCCCAUAGAAACCCCUUCAUUAAUCUUUCUAUACGUCCUCUUACCCCGCAUGGAAUUUUGAACAAGGACAUAUAGUAAAUCGGCAUGCUUCCCAGGACUGAUUGAAUUAGAGUUAAUUUACCCCCUCUGGAUAGGAAAGCCUUCUUCCAACUUUGAAGUCUUCUUUCCAUUGUUUCUACCACUGGAUCCCAAAAUUUUAUUGCUCUUGGCCUUCCUCCGAGGGGAAGCCCCAAAUACUUUAUCGGCCAGCACCCUACCUCGCACCCCCAAGAAACUGCCAGCCUGUUUAGUUUCUCAUUGUCUGAAUUUAUCCCAGCCAAAAAGCACUUAGCUUUGUUGAUUUUCAAUCCUGAGACCGAACAAAAUAAAUUAAGCACUUGGAUUAGGUUGUUCCAAACUUCCUCGUCUUCUGUCAAGAAGAAAAUGGUGUCGUCGGCAAAUUGGAGAUGAGAUAUCUCCACCUUUUCUUGGCCGAUACACAAGCCUUUGAUGAGAUCAGUUUCUUGUGCCUUCUCCAUUAACCUGCUCAGAACAUCGACUACUAAGGUGAAAAGAAAUGGUGACAGUGGAUCGCCUUGUCUCAAACCUCUUGAAGCUUGAAAUUUUCCCCUUGGCCUUCCAUUGAUCAAAACGGAGAAAUUUGCAGAGCUUAAACAUCCUUGCAUCCAUUUCCUCCAUCUAUUGCCAAAACCUUUUCUUUGUAGUACUUCUUCCAGAAAUCUCCAUUCCACAUGAUCAUACGCUUUUUCAAAGUCGAUCUUAAGCACCAAUCCCUUCUCUUUUUUCUGCCUCACCUCUUCUACCACUUCAUUUGCAAUGAGGACAGCAUCCAAAAUUUGUCUAUCUUUGACGAACGCCCCCUGAUUCGGAGAGACAGUGGUAUCCAAAACCUCCUUCAAUCUUGAAGCCAGUGUUUUGGCUAUAAUUUUAUACAAUCCAGUUACUAAACUUAUGGGCCUAUAGUCCGUCACUUUUAAGUAGACAGGUAAAACCUUUAUACUUAAAAUUUGCAGCAGACUUUUAUUUGACAUGAUGAAAAAGGUAAACAUGUCCUUUCAAUAAUGCAUCAGCCUCAAAAAAAGAAUUACAGCCGAAGCACUAACAAGACACAGUUAUCUUAUCUAAGUUUAUCACCAGAUUCAAUAAGUGCAUAAAAGCAAGGCACACACUACCUCGAACGUAAUCUAAUCACUAGCCCAAUUAGUAGGCAACUGAAAUGUAGACAAAACUAAUUAACAUCAGCACCGCAAUGCAAACAAAACUAAUUAACAAAAGCACCCUAAGAACUGAAAGAUGACCAGAAACAAACUCAUCCUCCCCCUUAGCACCUUGAACAAUCUCUGAAUUCUCUACAUCCAAACAACCCAAAAUAUUUUCAGAACACUACAUAUCCAGCACCAUGCCCCUUUUCUUUCCUCCAAGACUUGGGCUUCUCACAAAGUAAUUCAACACAAGAUUCAAAGAUUGCCCAAUUCAAAAUGGUCUCCCUAAACAGCCUUGUCCAUAAAAGACACACAAGAGGACAAUGGAGCAUUAAAUGAUUGAAAUUACAUGCCAAUGAGAAGAAAGAUACCAAAUCACUGUAAAACCAAGUUAUGAAAUUACAUACUCAUUACUCACUAAUAUAGGGGACGUAACCUCACUAAUAUAAAAUUAUCCUCUAUUGAAGCUCUCGAAUUAGUCUCUGGAAUGCUCUAGCCAUGUGCAAAAGGUGCCAUGACGCUGGGCCACCAAUUUCUAAUAUGUAUGCCAUUAAAAAUGAAUAAAAAUCUAGGCCACGCAGGUUGCUAGUAUCAAUUUAUUCAUGUAAAUCAGAUAUGAGUAAAUCUACCUUUGGUUACACAAAAUUAGCCGUUCAGGGAGAUGAAUAAGUUAGGUCAUUGCAAGUGUUUGCUUUUUCCUUUCUCUACAAGGACCAUAAAAAGGUGUGGACGAAUAAGAAGCUCAAAGUUAUGUGGGGCUGUUUGGUAAUGGCUGUGAUUUGGGUGGUUUAGAUGGAAAGGACACAAGGACCCCAAAUGAUAAAGAGAAAUUGGUGCUAGGUUUGCAAAUUGGCUCCACUUGAGACAAGCAAGACAUUCCAGAUCUGACAGCAAAGACAGGAAAUCUUUCAUUUCCUGCUCACCGAAAUUACAUGGAAGCCAAAAAUUCAGACAAAGAUAAAGAAGACCAAUAGCAAUGGAAUCAUUAAGUAUAAAGGUUUUACCUAUGGUUACACAAUAUUAGUUCACGAGCAUCGACUUGAACCACUAGCUGCGAUCUUGGGAAUCCAGACAUUCUCAUGCAGCCCAUCCCCCAAAGGGAAUUUUACUAUGUCUGGAACUUCCACAACCACAUCCCAAGAAUAACUUCAUUUCUUUACUACCCUUAAGGCUCCUUUUUCCUUAACUUGAGCCAACUCAUUCCACUAUUAAGUGAUCCUUCUUUUCUCGUAAUAAGUUUAUCAUUAUCCAUUCCAAUCUCCCUCCUCGCAAAUGAAAGUGUUUUUGUUACUAUUUAAAUUAAAGGAACAACAACAAUACAGCCCUUCAUUAGCUAAGAUACUGUUCAAAAGGCCCUGUAAGUUUAUCAGUAAUUCGUGUUAACACAGCAACUGGAAUUCAAGUUUAGAAGUUGGGUAGUCAAUUUUGUGUUCAACUCAAAAUUUAUCAGGUUCAUAAUUUCUCAACUCAAACUCAACCUGAGCCUUUUUUAACCUGUCCAUACGGGCAGAAAGUUUGGAUUGGCUUCAUGGAGAUCAGGCAGAGCCCAUUCAAGUUGCACCAAUACAUGCAUCACCAAACCACUUCCAGAGAAUUAAAGUUAAUCUAAAUUAGCAAAGAAGUUUGGCCCCAAAAAAAAUAUAUCACCAAAGAAAUUUUCUUGUGUAGUUGUGUGUACUGUAUGUGUACUGAAAUUCACCAUCCCGCAUGUAGUAGACCAUUCAUUCAUAUAGACUUUGAAACAUGACUGAAAUUUACUACUAGCUAGAUGAGAAUUGACCAACUGUACAUACGAAACCCAAGCUUUGAAUAAUCAAAAUGCAAAGCACACCUUCGAAUGGGCAUUGUGCCGCUUGCCAGCCCUCCACCGCCGAAUAGUCCCAUCAUUCAUUGUCCUAAACCUGGACUUGUAAGACCUGAUCAUGAAAUUUCAAAACCACUUAUUACCCAAAACUGUAAUAACAUUUCCAAAAGGAGAAUACAAAUCACAUAAUAUGAUGGCUGAGAAAACAAAAACCUACGAGUAAGACUUUAAUUUGGUUUUCUUUAACUUGGAUGUGACGGGAGUCAUCGGCUUUCUCCGCUUCUUACGCUCCCUUGACGAAACGUGCCGCACUUGAACCAUCUUAACAUACACAAACACCACACCACUUCUCUUCAAAACAAUGGUAUAUAAUUGCACAUCAAUGCACAUAACAAUACCAUAUCUAAACCCCCAAUUCACAUUGCCCUUUGAUCGAUUACAAAACAGACCAAAAUCAAAUAAAACCCCCAACUAAGUCCGGUAUUUGCUGCAAAAUUUUCUUCAUUUCCUAAUGAUUCAAGAACACGAAUAUAUCUUUCUCAGGCAUUUUCUCAGUAACCAAACAGGCAAGACCACCCACUGAAAAAACCCAACUUACCGAGAAAGGGAAUGGCGAGGAGCGAAGAGCAGUGACAGCCAGUGAAGGUUGGGUCGGUGAAUGGGCACUGAAAAGGGACCUGACGAUCCAUCUGUUAUCAAUUGAUGCGAAAGGGAGAGGCUGGUGAAGCAGCGGAGGGCAAGACCGAAGCAAUGAAGGAGAAGAGAGAGAUGAUGGGAGAGUUUGGGCUGAGUGCACAGAGAAAGAACGAAGCUUGGAGAAUAAUCUCUGCAUCGCCAUGGUUUCGUCCUCCAGAGCAAAAGGGUUUUACAGAGCCUUACCCAGCCAGCCGCUAUUGGGUUUUAGAGCUUCUCUUUCGAUUCGGGAAUGCAAAAAUGCGAGCGACUCCGUUCGGUAAUUCAGUCACUGGAGACUGGCUUCCCCAUCCAACGGUCAGAUAUUAUUCGCUCUUCACAUCUGACCGUCGAAUGAUAAAUGUAUGGCAUACAAGCACCUACCGUAGAAAUUUCUGAGUCACAAUCAUAAAGCACUGACGAUGUCAUGUCACUUCAGUUAUAUUUGUAAAUAGCAACCGAUAAAAAGACAUAACUCAUGUUACAUGAUAAACCCAAUCCAGCCAAUUCAUCAGUAACAAAAUUAUUUUCAGACAAAUUUACAAACUCAACUUUGAUGCAUAAGAGCAUGGUAUACAUUACCAAACUUCUAAAAGAUCCACUUUUGCAUUUAAAAUUAGUUGUAUUGUAAGCGUAGAAUCUUAUUCCACAAUAAUUUUCCUAAUUCUAUUAUUCCAUGCAAGUUGCAUCCCGAUAAAAACACCUUUAACUUUAGUACAUAGAAUCUCACUUCGACCAAGAUUAACAUAGAAACCAGAGAUCCAUGCACUCAACGAGUUUAUAAGGACAUCAUUCUCCUUGCGUUUGAUUUUUAAAACCCACUUGUUCCCAACGGCUUUAUACCCAAGCGGAAGGUCAACUAACUCCCAAACAAUAUUCUUAUCCUUGGUGCUCAUCCCUUCCUUUAUUGUAUUUAUCCAUUUAUCUUUGGCAGUUGAAGGCAACACUUAUUUGUAAGAAGAAGGUUCAUCUUAUUCUGAAAGUAUGAAAAUGUAGGCUUCCCCAGCCUCAAAAUGACAUUUGGGAAUGUGGUCUCUUUUGCUCCUUCAAACUCCUCCCAUAGGUGGGCAUAUUCUCUUGAGUGUCUAAGGGUACACUCCUACUAGGAUGAAGUCUUCCUACAUCAUCUUUAGAGCAAGUCCACCCAUGGACAUUGCUCGGGGACAUGGGAGAGGAAAGGGCCCGAGGCCUUGUGAACUUGCUCCAGCCUUGAAAGAGCCCGAGCGGAGGUGAGGCCCGAGCUCCGGGCCUGUGACGGGCUGACAGCCCGAGCCCCCAAGUGGGUGUGAUGCUAGCCCUGGCGUCUACCCCUUUUUUUAUUUUUUUCUGUCAGGCGCGUGCACCCUACUAGCGCGUAGGGGCGCAUCGCCCGACCAAUUUUCAGAAAAGUCAGUCAACUUUUCAGACAGAAAAGUUACCGUUGGGAAGCCACGUGACUUCCCACUGUCCGUUCGAUCUCAACGGCUCUUUAAUUUGGACCGUUGGAUCUCAACGGUAAAAAAAAUAAAAAAAAUAUUAUUUAAUAUCAACCGUUCGAUCUAAGAUCAACGGUCGAUAUUAAUAUGCUUUAUAAAUAAAAGAAAAAUAGUUUUAAAAUUAAGAAAAGUUACCGUUGUGACACGUGGCACAAUCUGAAGUGUUGGAAUUUAAUUUUUUUAAAAUCCAACGGCAGAGAUUAAUUAUUUGAAUAAAAAAAAAUUUAAAAUUAUAAAAAAUCCGAAAAAAUUAUCUGAAAAUAAAAAAAAAAAUGUUUCUACUUUUCUAUAAAUACCUUCUCAUUAUUAUCUACUUCACACCACAAUUUCUUAUUUUCUCAACUACUUUCAAUCACAUUCAUAUCUUUCUCUCAAAGUUUCAAUCCAAUUUUUUUCAACAAAAUGACUACUGAUGCAGCACGAAUUGGACAUUUCUUGAAGAUGUUGCAUUGUGUACUAGCUGGGUUGAAGUUACUCAUAGUUCCUGUACAGGUAAUGAGAUGCAGUUACGAGAAAUGUGGAGUCUUAUCCAUACCAAUUAUCUUGAAAAAAUGGGCGGGAGUAGAACCAAAGAAUCGAUGUCUAGUCGUUGGAAAUUACUUAGCCAAUCGUUUAGUAUUUGGAGAGACGCAUUGGCACAAGCAAGUAGUAAUCUUCGAAGUGGGGAAAAUUACACGGAUCAGGUAAUAAUAUAUUAUUUAUUUGUUUGCACUAUACCCAAAUUUACAUUGUAAUUAUUUGUUUGUAUUAUUUAUUUGUUACAUACUUUAAUUAUAAUUAUUUGUUUGUAUUAUUUAUUUGUUACAUACUUUGAUUAUAAUUUUUUGUUUGUAUUAUUUAUUUGUUUCCUACUUUAAUUAUAAUUAUUUGUUUGUAUUAUUUAUUUGUUACCUACUUUAAUUAUAAUUAUUUGUUUAUAUUAUUUAUUUGUUACAUACUUUGAUUAUAAUUUUUUGUUUGUAUUAUUUAUUUGUUACCUACUUUAAUUAUAUUUAUUUGUUUGUAUUAUUUAUUUGUUACCUAGUUUAAUUAUAUUUAUUUGUUUGUAUUAUUUAUUUGUUACCUACUUUGAUUAUAAUUAUUUCUUCUCCCCCAUUGUGUAGCUAAUUCAAGCACAAGCUUGGUAUGGUGCCAAAACCAAAAGCAAAAAUAAAUCAUUCAACUGGUGGGAAUGUUGGAAUAUUGUCAAAGAUUGUCCUAAAUUCAGAGUUGUGCCUGUCGGUCCAGAAGUUGUCAUGAACAGCACCCCACUAUACUCUACAUCUGAUAAUGGCUCGCAUGAAGAUGAUGCAGAAGAAGUGCCUGAAACGUCCAUCCCUAAACAAGCGUCGGGUUUGACCCGUUAUCCAAUUAGGCCUCAAGGUAAGAAGGCUUCAAAGAGAAAAGGAAGUGCUUCCAAGCAUGAUUAUGCAAAGUACAUGGAAGAACUUACUCGCCAUAGUGAAUUGACUUUGGCGCGGGAAAUUGCGAAAUUUGAGGCUGAUAAGGCUAGAGAGGAGGUAAAAGUUGCAGCUGUGGAGAGAUAAUUUCAAGCUAAUUAGAGAGAAAGAGAGCUACUUGGGCAAGAAAGGGAACUGGUUAGAAAAGAAAGAAUGACUCAACGAGAUCGUGAGAUUAUGAACACACCUUUAGAAGGGAAGUCUCCAAAUUCUAAAUAUUUUUGGAAGUCGGAGAAAGAGGAUGUGGUGCGUAGAAGGUGUGCAAGAGAAGCGAGAGCAAGAGGAGAUGGUCCUAGCAGCACAAAUUGGUUAAGUGAUGAUGAAUAUAGUACUUUUUGUAAUCGGAGCCCAUAGUUUUCCAACCACCUUGGGUUGUAAUUUAUUAUUUAUUUAAUUGAGUAUUUUUAUGUUGUUUCCAAUUUAUUGAAUUUAGUACUUUAUUUAAAGUGAGAGUAAAUUUAUUUAAUAUGGUAAUAUAUUUAUACUAUAAGAGAAUCUUUAUUCAAAUGACAUAAACACACCAAAUAAAAAACUCACGAAAUGAACACCAAAUAAAAUGUAUCAAAUAAAAUUACAUAAACACACCAAAUAAAAUUACAUAAACACACCAAAUAAUAAAAACCUCAUAAUAAAAACCUCACUAAGAUAAAACACACCAAAUAAUAAAAACCUCACUAAAUGAACUAAAAUAAAACACACCAAAUAAAAUUACAUAAACAUACCAAAUAAAAAAACCUCACUAAAUGAACUUAAUUAUCUUCAGCUUGUUUCAAUGCCCACUGGUGCUCUAUCAAGUCAUUUUGCCUGGCAUUGUGCAUGUCUGGCCUUUGAAAUGCAAUAUAUCGUUGAAUGACCCUAUCAUUGUAACGUCCAUCCCUUUCUAAUGGCUCAUGUUGCAUGGGCUCAUCGGUAGCGUCAUGAGCACAAUAUAUACGUGUUCUUGAAUUGUUCAUCGUGUCUGGCUUAUAUUCAUCAACGGCUUCAUAAUCGUACUCAUCUUCCACAAUCAUGUUGUGACGAAUGAUGCACGUCAUCAUGAUGGAUCGAAGCGACUCUACAUCAAACAAUCUGGCAGCACCUAUAACGAUCGCCUAGCGAGCUUGAAGGAUACCGAAACAACGCUCCACAUCCUUCCUGCACCUCUCUUGACACCUUGCAAAGUGUUUUUCCUUUGCACUUCGCAGAUGUAACACUGUUUUGACAAAUGUUGACCACAUUGGGUAAAUGUCGUCAGCUAGGUAGUAUGACUCGUCGUACAUACGUCCGUUGACCUCAUACAUGACUUUUGGUGACUUUCCUUGCAGGACAUCGUUGAACACUGUGUUGGAAAUAUGCCCUGAAAGUCAAUCUUGGGAAGAAAUCUUUCAGGACAAAUGAAUCGAUGUAUGGAUGAUUCUUAUACAUCAAAUGGCAAAGAUACUAAUUAGGACUAUCUCAAUAAACGAAAUAUGUCCUGAAUAGUGAAUCCAUGGACAAUGGAUCGAUUGAAGAAGUAAUCUAAUGAUGUUAGACUACAGAGACCUUCUUCACAUAAUCAGAUGUCCAAAAAGGUUCCUGGUCAUUGGAUUGUCGGAGGGAUACUGACAAUGCGUAGACCGGUACAUACUAUGUCUGCUUCAAUUGGAAGGAUGGAAAGUCUCAUCCCAUUCGUGUUGUGACACUAAGACAAGUAUGUAGGUGCUCAUUAAGGGAAUGAGUUCACUGAACACAAUCAAACGGGAGUACUUGCAUGGAGGUCUACUCACAUGUCAAGCAAGUAACUCUAAUGGUUGGAAAGAUGUAAGUAAUCCUUAGACCUGAGGCAUCGUCGUUGUCUUGUGGUUAAGUACUUAAUCUUUGAUUAUGUCAAAGUCUCCCCAUUCGAGGGUGUCCACGGCAUAAUUGGGGUUAAGCCACUUAGUCGUGAAGGCAAGUGUAUGCGCAACAAGGAAUCUCUAAUCCUCGAUAAGAGAGGAAGAAUACUCUAAGAUAUGAUUCGGGAAUCUUCGGCCGAAGUAUCGAGCGUAAUAAAGGAAAGCGUUCCUAUAUGACUCAAUUGGAUCAUAUAAGAAGGAAUAAUCACAUUAGGGGUUUGACAUGAUAUAUCCAUACCCUAAUGAUGUGAUUGAGAGUAUUGUAUUAGAGAAGGAUUGAAUUACAUUGUAAUUCCAACUGACUAGGUUCUUUGAAUAAACUUCUACAUUAGCUUGGGUAGCUAUGACAUAUGGUUAGAUGUCACUCAUAGCUUGUGAGUUUUUCUAGAUGAUUAAAUGUAGUCGUCAAAGAAGAAAGGUGAAUUAAAAUGAAGUUUUAAUUCACUAAGUGAUUGAAUUAAAUAUGAGCAAUUGGAUUGAUGUCAAUCACCUCACUGCCUUGCUAAUUAGAACCUAAAAGGUUGUUCACCAAUACACUAUUGUAGUGAGUAACUAAUGGAUGAUGGAAACAAUUAAUUGGAUUAAUUAUGUGUUGUGAUUAAUUUAGAAAAGUCUAAAGAAAUCAUAAAAGCGAUAAAGAUCGUUUUGGGCUUAAAGAAACGUUCGGGUUUAAUUAGGCCCAUUGGGCCUAAACCCAUUGGGCUUUUAUUCAAGCAUUGGAUGACUUGAAAUAAUAAAAGCCCAAAGCCCAAAAACAACACAAAGGGGCCGGCCACUUUAGGUGAAGAAAUGAGAGAUAUUUAGUCAAGUGUUGACUAGGUUUCUUUUGUCUAUAUAAGGAACUUUAUAAGAUAUUGUUCAUUAGGGUUUUUUGUGAGUUUUGAACAACAAAAGAGGCAAAAGAAAAUAGCCAUCUUGAACCACAAAGGCCGGCCACCAAAGGGGAGUUUUUACUAACAUCUCUUACACCCUUUUGGUUAUUCCUUCAUCCUUCUCACUACACUAGUGGGUGAGGAUCUUUAGAGGUUUCCUACUUUGGGAACUUGAAGAGAACCUAGGAGCACUCAUUGUAACAAAGUGGAGGAGGCAAGGAGGGAAGCUAGGCUCAAGGAUUUCAAGGAGCAAAGGCCUUGGAGGUGGUCCAUCCUUGGUCUUAAGUCUAGAUCAAGAGGUAUAAGACUAACCUUCACUUUGUUCUUGAUUCUAAAAUUGUUUUGAUGCAUUAUAUAUAAACCUAUGAACCUUGAAGGGGAUUUGCAUGACUAUAGCUUUGAUAAUAUGUUAUAAAUGCUUCCGCUGCUUUCGUAUAUUAAUUUUAGAUUUGUAUAUGCAUGAUAGUCAUUAUGAAAUCCCAUUCUAGAAUCUCAUAAUUUUCCCUUCACACUGGGGAUUGGGCAAGGACGUUGAGGUCAUUUUGAGCUCCCGGAACCCCAAAAAAGGUGUGCCAAAUCCAUGUAUCAAAGGAUGCCACCGCCUCCAAAAUGAUACUUUUUGCCCCUUUUUAAUCUCCAUAAGCGCCUUGCCAUGCACUUGGACAAUUUUUCCACGUCCAAUGCAUACAAUCAUCCCAAGAAAACCUCGCAUCUCGGCCUUCUUCAGAAGCCUUUCCAAAUCUAUGUGAGUAGGUUUCCGAAGGUACUCUGCGGUGUAGAUAUAUUUGAUUGCUCCACAAAACCUCAUCAGGGACUCAAGAAUGGUUGAUUUCCCCAUCCUCGCUAUCUCAUCCACUUGGUCUGCAGCUGCUCCAUACGCAAGCAUCCGCAUCGCAACAGUAAUUUUUUGCUCGGGAAGGAGACCCAUAGCACCACAAGCAUCAUUCUUUUGCACAAAGUAAGAAUCAUGGUUGCAAACAACAAUCAUGAUUUUGUUGAAUAAAUUUCGUUUCAUUCUAAAACAACAUCUGAAGUACAUAUCAGGAAAUGCACUAUUAUGGACAAAAUAAUCGUCCAACAGCUCAUCACCUCGUUGGUGCCUGCUUCUAUCAAGGUUUUUGGAACGGGUGAGCUUGCAUAUCUGACCCACAGCUUGGAUGACUCGACGAGAAUGUGAGUCUUUGGCCAUUCUUGCUUCGUCAUCUCUUCUUCUCCGCUCAUCAUCCUCUUCCUUCUCAUUUUAGGCUAUAUGAAGAUUGAACAUUCCUUCAUAUUAGUUAAGCAAUUCUUCCUCUUCUUGAUCGAUUUCCCACAUCAUGCUUGAAGAAGAAGACAUUGUAAGUAGAAACUAUGAAUAAUGAUAAAGAUUUUGAUUUGGUGAAGCAGGAAGCAGAAACUAUGAAUAAUGAUAAAGGAAUUGAGAAAAUUGGUGUGAGAUUGGGCAAGGACGGAUGAUGGAUUAUAUGGAGGAUUCUGAAAUGAUUAGGUUGUAGAUAGUGCCACGUGGCAUGCCGUCAUUCGUUAAAAAUCUCAUCGAAAUCUAUCUUAAAAGAUUUUGAAAAGAUAACGACAUGUGGCACGACGACAUUUGAUAAAAAUCUUAUCGAAAUCCAUCACCAAUAAUUAUCUUUUCGGAUAAUGACACGUGGCGCAAUGAGAACGAUUUAAAAUCUGAUCGAAAUCUAUCCUCAAAUAUUCUGAAAAGAUAACGACACGUGGCACGAUGACACUGGAUAAAAAUCUUAUCGAAAUCUAUGACCAAUAAUAGUUGUUUUGGGUAAAUGACACAUGACGCAAAGAGAACGAUUAAAAUAUUUUAUCCGAAAUUACCAAUAAAUUUAUUUAGUAUUAUUUUGUAAAAAAAAUAUUUAAUAAUAUUUUAUUACCUAUUGCCAGGGCUAUUCAAGUGCAAAAGUGAAGAUGCAAAAGACAGUUACUGUUCAUUAGGGCAAUUAUUGUUCACAGGGUGGAUUGAAUAGUGGAUUGCUUGGGGAGAGGGCUCUAAGAGUGGAGUUGCUCUUAGCAACCAUCGGCUUAGAAAUUAACUCCCUUCAUUCGCUUGAAGAUGUUGUGAGUUUAUCUUGCUCCAACUUAUGGAGAACAAGUUUCUUGACCGUAUCACCAAGUUUUGGAAAGUCAUUCUCUAUGAAUUCCACAUCACAUGACUCGAUCUCGGUUCUCCCUCAAUCUAGAUGUUCACCAUACAUCACAUAACCUUUCGAGUUUUUACAAUAUUUUAUAAAGAUAUGUUUAUUCGCUCUAGGACCUAACUUUCCAAACUUAUGUGAUGGAUAUGAACAAAACCAGAACAACCCCAUGAACGCAAAUUACCUAGAUUGGGUUUUCACCAUUCCAAAGUUGGUAUGGGAUUAUUUCCUUAAAGAAGUUCGUGCAUUGAACCCACAGACCCCGAAGGCCAGAGGUAAUUCCUUGAGGCAACACUGCAUGCUCUUCUAAAAAACAUGACUUGACCUUAACAAUUCAUUUAAGAAGUCUGCUGACUGGUGAUUUUGUAGAUUAUUUUGACUCUUUUCUCACUUUUGGUUAUUAUAGCGUUUUAGCCAAGGCUAUUUCUAACUACGGAAUUUCACCGAGUGCUAAGGGGCGACCCCAACUCAAAAAUAUUUUUCGUUUUGAGGGGGUUGGGGGGGGGUCGAUGUCUAUUGUAGGUAGUUUUACGUUUACAUUACAAAUAAACUAUUUCCAUGGCCUUGAACAGUAAUCACAAAAGAGCAACAUUUUCUUUGCCCCAAGGCUUGUCCUCAAAUUUCACCAAGUGCUAUAAUCUUAAAUUUUAAUGCCUUUCUGCUAGUCAUAUUUACAAGUCACCAUGCCAGUUUGUGUACAAUUGGUUUUGUUUUAUUUGAAAUCUUUAGAAUUUGUUAUCAAAAUGUAAUUAAGUUUUUUGGUGAAAAUUUGAGGUUUACUGUGGCAUUAGCAAUUUCAAAAUAUGAGAGUUGUCAAUGAAUGAUUGAACGUUUGGGUUCAAAAUUGCUGAUUGAAAGGAGAAGUUGGAUAGUGAUACCGUCCGUAAGAUAUUCCUUCAAGCAAUGAGCAACUUUGAUGGUGUACAGGUACUUGAUAUAUUCCAAUGCUCAUGUACUCUGACGCAAACUCAAUUGGAACUUUUUCAGUAUUCAAAACAUUAUAUUUCUCCUAGUCACUUAUGGAUUGCUUGGAAGUCCAAUUGCGACUUUGUAAUAUUACGUUAGAAUAUCAUGUGCCCACUAGGGUUUAGUGAAUUUGAGUAAUAUGGGCAAAAUGGGCUUAGUGAAUUUAAGGAAGUAUAGAUGCAUAAGGAUUUACAAUGGGCAUAUGAUGGCCGUAUCAUAUUAGGGUUAUGUACUCUAUAUUAGUAAGGAUUGAUGUUGGUGCUACGCGCAUUACAUUUAGUACUCUCCAUUCAGUAUUGUAAUUUACUGUGUAGAAACCAAUACAAGAAUUCUUAGUAUCAUGCAUUGAGGGAUUCAACAAGAAUAAGAUGUUAUUGGAACUCAGCGAUCCAGGAUAGUAGUCUAGUGUGUUUUAAUUAUAUGAACAUCUUAAAUUAACGACAUAAACAUGAUUGUUUUUUCGUCGCCACAGUAAAACGUCAUCUGCUAUAAAAGAUAAUGAUUAGUUGUCAUGCAUCACAAUAAACUGUCCACUUUUCAUGUAUCAUGACAAAUAUAAUUGUCAUUUUGAUGUUGUUAUGAAGAUUAAAAAAGGAGGCAUAUUAUUUCUAUACAGUUUAUAACUAUCAUCAUCUAAAACAAAGGAAAUAGAGGGCACUAGACUGCAUGACCAAAAACUCAAGCGCAGGGAGGAAAGUCAACAAAACAUCGUCUGCAGUAUUCCCUUCACGGCCGUUCAGCAGGUACCGUUUGGUAUGUGGGACGGAACGGAAUGGAGUGGGACAAGGCGUUUCGUUCCACGUUUGGUGCGCCUAAAACGGGUGGAAUGCGCUGUUCCACGCGACGAAUUUUGGGUGAAUUUUCGUUCCGCCUCAUCCCCUGGAACGACUCGUUCCAUAUCCGUCGAACACAAAAUUAUAACCUCUGCGUCUCUUUCUUCUUCCUCCUUGUUUCCAUCCGAGGGCAUCUUUGCUCCCUCUCCGUUCUGUCCCGUCUUGUCCCGUCUGGUCCCAUCUCAUUCCGUUCUAUCUCGUCCCAUCUGCAUACUAAACGAUAAGUUCACUACAAUUUGUAAUUAAGAAAAAAUAUAAAUUGACAGAUUACGAUUUAACGGAAUGACCAAAAUUAUAAUGUUUAUGUACCUUGUGUGGAUUCGAUUACCGCCGAUCUUUCUUCAUAACAUAUAAUAAUUUAGUCUAUUAAGCUAUUGUUUAUCUUAAAAAUAAUAUAUAAUCCUGUACAAUUAUUAGAGAUAUUGUCAUACAAAAAAAGAAAGUAUAUAAAAUCAGAUGGCUGAUUAUAUGGCGUAACUCUAGCAAAUUCCAUUAUGACAUGCAGCUUUCCCGCCGCACAGAACAGGUGGAAAGUAAAAAGAGACAAAGAAAUCGAGUGGCAUGAUUAGGAUCCUCUCCGGAUCAUUUUUACGGGAAUUCUAAACAUUCUCAUAUCAUAAUCGUUUAUUGUAUAUCGUGUAAUCAGUUUUUAUUAGAUACUAUUUAUAUUUAAUUUUAAAUAAAUAAAUUUUAAAUAAUUUCUAACCGUACGAUGUACUACGAUAAAUGGUAAGAAUAUGAGAAUUUUUAAAAUCCUCACAACUUGAAUCCGAAUAGGAUCCAUCUCUGAGUGGGAUAUCCUUUUAUUUUAUUUUAAUUCCUGUAUUAAUGCAAUACAUUGACAAGAAGCAAUGCCAAUCAAUUAGCUGAAUAAAUUGGAUUUGAUGCCAUACAAAAGCAACAACCAGCCCCCACGCUUUUUUCUCCUCCUCGAUUAAUACUGAUAACAACUUAUAUAACACGGAUUUUUUUUAUCCUCAAUCAAACGUCAUCUACAAGAUACCACGAUGACAUUAUGAAUACAAUGACUCAAGUAGUCAACUACGUCAACUAAUCACGCUUGCACAUGCAACUAAAAUAAUAAGAAAACCUAUGACCCAAGCACCCAAAAAGCACACAAUAAAGGAAGAAUAAAAUACACAAGAAAAAUGAUAAGUUUAACACUAUAUUUGGAUGAAGAAAUUUAAGAUUACUAAGGAAUUUUAAAAUGACGGAAAUUUAAAUAAUGAAAUUUUAUUCUAUAGAAUUUGUGAAUUUUCUUGUUUGAGUAACCUAAAAAAACAAUAGAAUUGAAUACGAAAUUUGUUGUUUUUAAACUCUUAAUCAUAGAAAUUGGAAAAUGACACUUAUUUACAUGGAAUUUAAACUUGGGAAUUCGAGGUCCCAAAUUCCAAGUUUUUUUCCAUGCGGAAAUUCUAAAUUUCUAUGUUUAUGAAUCCAAAUAAGGGAAUUUGUGCAUGUCAAUUUAUAAAUUAUGUCUUUAAUUCAAAUUUCAAGUUUAUUUCCCUUAUCCAAACAUAGUGUAAGACUAGGGGUGGGUUCAAAAAACCGAAAACCGAAAAAAACCGAAAACCAAACCGAACCGAGGCCGAAAAAAACCGAACCGAAAAAACACCGAACCGAAACUGUCAAACCGAACCGAACCGAAUCUGACCGGUUCGGUUUCGGUUUUUGAGGUUCGGAAACCGAACCAAACCGAACCGAACUGAUAUAUAUAUAUUUAAUUAUUUUUUUAACUAUUAUAAAUAGGUUAGUCAUACAAUCAUAACAAAGCAUACCUUGUUGCUAAGUUGGUUGCGAUGAACCUUUUCAAGCCCCAAGGCACGGGUUCGAACCUCCAGGAUGUCCGAGAUGUUUUUUAAAUUUUUUGGAGAACUUAACAAAACCCUUUAACCCUUUAACCCUAGCAGCCAUACCCAUACCUUUUAUUUUUUUUCAUUCCCUUCCUCUCUCUCUCGUUCCCUGCCUCCUCUCCUCCAGUGUAACCCUAACCCAGCGCAGCCGAGCCUCCUCUCUCUCUCGCUGGGUCUUCAACUUCAAUCGCUCUGUCUCUCUCAAUCUCUCGGGCGACCCACGACGGCCCGACCCUUUUCCCUUAUCCCUCUCCUCUGUACUCUGGACCCUCUCUCCUUCCUUCCCAACUCCGCCGCUCUUCCGCUUCGUCUUCUUCCUUCACAGCGACCUGCAAGUGUCGCCAUCUCACUCGUCGUCACUGAUUUGCUCUCAGUUUCUCACCGCCAUGACCUGUGACCCACGACCUCUUGCUGUUUCGAGUCUCGACCCACUACUUCGUUCCUUUGCAAGGUUAGUCUUAUAAUAAUUUCUCUCAUGUUUGUUCUACAUAUUUUGUUUUCAAUUUGAUGCGUUUUGCAGAAUUUAUUUUCAAUUUCAUGGGUUCUGUAGCUUUUCAAUUUCAUGGGUUUUGGUUUUGCAAUUUGUUUUGGGUAACUUCAGUUAUGAAAACUAUUAGUUGAGGUUUCAUUAAUUUUAUAUUUUCUUUUGGUUUUGCAAGGUUAUUUUCUUUCUGUAACUGUCAUUCCUUGUCGUAUCUAGCAAACUUGUGGAAUUGUUUGUUAAUGUUGUCAUCCUUGGAGUUAUGUUGCAUUUGAUGUCGCGGUGGUACUGUUGCUAAAUUGCUAAUUGAUUUGCAUACAUGCAGUGCUCUGGUGUUUUCUCAGGAUGUCUCUUUUGCUAUUUGAAUGCAGGGAACUCAAAUUAUUAAUGAAUCUGAGGAUCAGGACACGACCGAUUUGCAUAAGUGUAUAGCAUACAUAUGUGACUCGGCACCAAACCUAGAUAAGUCUAAUGUAUGUUGUGUAUUAUUAUCGUUCCAACAUUCGUUUUGUUUUUCUACUGGAAUUGAGUCUGAUUUUGUAGGUGCUUUCGUAUAACUUUCGGUAACUAAAACUGUGUCCUUACUCCUUGCAACUUAUUGUGAGUUGGGUAGUCAAAUUUGUUGAUUACAGAUUUUGACACUUUGCUAAAUAGACUGCUAGUUUUGUUUUUCACCUCUAUACAUGAACUGAGUUAUGUCGAUUGGAAAACAUCAAUGUGUUAUGUCGAUUCUCAAACAUUCAAAUAAUUCUCAUAUCUGAUGAUUGCUUCAUCCAUCUUCACACCGCCAUGAGAUCCAUAUUCAGUCUUCUGUUGAAGGCCCUCAUUGUGGACUCAUACCCAUUGGGAUGCCAUCUGGAAGUACUACAACCACUGGACUUCAAUGGGAUCUCGGUGAGUAUCUCUUAAGAGCGUAAGGCUAGUUAAUGCAUACUUUUAUUGUAUUAGGGGUUCACUUAGCAUAUACUUUUCUGGUCACCUCUUCCUGUUCUGACCUGCUUAAAUGUGACCAAAAAGGGAAAAGGCGUGUCUAAUAUUGAUUUCAUUGUUCAUGUUUCGAGUUAUCUAACAGCCCGUGCUUUACUUUUCUUUUCCAGCUGAAACGGAGAUGAGGUUUGGUGGUCUGAUAAGUACAUCGAAUAUCGUCAAGGGAGAGAAAAUAACAGUGCAGUCAGAUUCAGAUCUUCUAUGGACUAUAAGCAUUAAAAAGAUGUAGUGCAUUUGGAGAUGAGAUGGGCAAAACGAUUUGAGUUUUUUUAGAGAGAGAGAGAGAGAGAGAGCGGCUUUUUGAUGAUUUCAGCGAGUAAAUGCUGUAAGGAAGAAAUACAGAAUGAUAAAGUGUUGAUGCUAGCACAGGAGAAAAAAAUGGCACUCUGUGAUAUCUGUGGUUCAUUUCUUGUGGCCAAUGAUGCUGUAGAGAGAACUCAGUCUCAUGUUACAGGGAAACAGAAUGAUAAAGUGUUGUGGUUGUUUUGCAUUUUUUGGAUGAAAAAAAAAAAAAACCGAAAAAAACUGAAACCGAACCGAAAAAACCGAACCGAAAAAAAAA